UGAGAGUCUGGCUUUCUCACUUUCAUCAUCUUUAAGCUCAGGAACAUGUCUUUACUAGAAUUCUCCUCGCAUAUGGGAGACUUUCUGGUACACCCACUUGAAAAGUCUUCAGUUUUCCACUUAUCCGGCGAGGCGGGUUUGAACCCAGGUAAACAUUUGCACAUCAAAGGAUUUUUAGUGUUACAACUACCGAAUUUCCCACAAGCUUUUGACACACUGCAUCGAUCUCGAGGUGCCCACCAGUCUGGAGAUGAUGUAUUCGGAUUCAGAUAGUACUGGAUUUCCCCUGAAGAAUUCAUCACCAACCGCGUGGUAUUCUUAUACCUGCGGGACAGUAUUUCAAGGGUUCCAUUGAAGAAUUUUAUAUAGCUGGUUGGCUUACCAUUCUUGCUGAGGUUGGAUAACAAGCUGAGUAUUGCAUCUGGAAUUUCAUCAGGCGUUCCUUUCGAGUCCUCACUGCUCCAAUAUGGGACAAUUGAACUUUCCCAUAUGUUAUAAUGAUCCUUAUUGUCUUGAUCUAUCUUGAAAGUAUAGUUUCCAGGUGCCGGGUCAACAGAACUCAGCCAUGAAGUCAAUGUUAAGGUUUCAUCCAUCUUCAUCCCCGGAAGAAAAGUAUCUGUAGGAUUAUGGAAGCUCUCCCAAAGAAUCUUCCCCGAUCUGUUGUAGCUCAAAACAAGGUUCCCAGAGUCCAUGAGCUUCACCACCCUCCCUGUAGAUAAAGAUGUUUCAAUAUCAGAAUGCCAGUGAACUGUCCCAUUUGCAUCCAAUACCUUGAGCUGACCAUCUUCUUUAAUGGCAAAAACUCCAGAGGGGGUGUCAGAAAGGGGAAGGGGGUUCUUUCGGUUGGCCACCCAUACAACUCUUUGUGGUUUCGACCUGUAAUACCAUAUGCCCACGAAUCUUCCAAUCUUGGAGCUUCCACCUGGAUUAAAGAAGCCAAGUUCAAAAGUUUUGCCUGCAGAAACAACAGUUUCUCCAUCAUUACUAAGCCAGUCCUCCGGUGUGAUGGUAUCUCUAGCAGAGCAAUACAGGACAGAACACAAGACGAAAAAGAUGGUAGAUAGCAUGUGAGUUGCAGAGACAGGAACCAUGAAUUUUCUUCCUUAUCAUUUUGCCUCUUUUUAGAGCUGUGUCCUCAAAUCUAUAGUUUUUAGUGGAGACUUUUCCUCUUGACCCUGAGUGGAGUAAAGUCACAUCAAUACUGUCUGUCAUCUUUGUCUUCCUCCCGCAAACUAAAUAACGGUUGUCCUUUUGUACCCACUAUUUAUUUUGGACCUACCUACCCUCAUUUCACUCCAGUAAUAAAAUGAAAUGUGUGAAUUGCAUGUCAUUAAAUAAAAACAAAAACACGUAUCUAAUCGGUAUUAUACUGAUUCAGUACUGUAGAAUUUUCUCAAAAACAAAAACAAAAACAUAUACCUAAUCGAAUGAUUAAUCAUUGGAGUGUAGAAUGCAAAGCUUUUUCUUUCUUCAUUUUAAUGAGACAAUGAAUAAAAAUAAGGUGGACCAUGUCUCCUUUCCAACGCACACCUUUCAUCUUUUCUCUUUAUCCCAACAUGUUUCUCAUUCCACUCCACUUUUUUCUUUGUAUGUAUAGUUUAUCUCUUUUAAGAAAUCAAGUAUGAGCAUCAACUGAUAAAUUUUUCUAUACUUUCUUCGACUUGGAGGAGCUUCAUAAUGGGAUAAACAAUCAAGAGUCUGUUUUCACAAUGUUUUUAAAAAGGGUAUUUGAGAUAACUUAAAUGUUUUUGAGGCAAAAUUUUAUUAAGAAUUCAAAUAUAAAAACUAAUUUUCUUUGUUUAUGCAUGUACGAUAUAAAAGUUUUUAAAGUGCUAUUCUCUAUUUUUUCAAUUGUCACUCAAUGAAUUCUAAAAAAAAAAAACAAAACUAAAAUACCUUAAAAUAUUUCUAAAAAAUAAUUCAUUUUCAAAACAAAUUCCCAAUAAAAAAAAAAUUGUGUUUUCUAUCAUAAUUUUUUGAAACAUAUUUUCUAAGUUAGAAAAUAAUUUUUUAUUCUAAAAGAUUAAUAUAUAUAUUUUCAAGAACAGAUACCAAAUAUAACCUAAUUUUUCUUCUAAGGUUUUUUUCCUUAUGUCUCCGUCUAGUUGUCAUCCAAUGAACAAUCCACUUCAAAUAUUUUUGUGCCAAAGGGUAAAACCGAAGGAGAGAAUUACUCAAACACAGGAGAAUUAAGAAUCAAAGGACAAAAGGGAUUGGAGCAAGGUGAUAACUUUUCUCAGUGAACUUCACUGAUUUGCUCAAAGGCAAGUUGCCAGCAAAAUCAAGGAUAUAAAAUGUGUAUUUCAUCUUUUUUUGUUGGACCCAUUGGGUUUGCUUUUUUUCCCUCUCAAUUUGGGAUUUAAUAUAAUAUAGAUCAGGAUUGAGCAGGUUUCUGUAAAUAAAUCAAAAUGGGCGGCCUUUUUUUAACUUGAUUCCCUCUUUGCUUUCUAGCACAUGAGAAAAAGUAGAGCUAGCCUCACAUGUGCACACACUGCACAUGGCAUAGCAUUGGGUACCUAUUGAGUCAUCUCCACCAUAUGAUUAAGCACAGUGGCCCAAAUACUAGCAAUGAAGUUAGAAAAUGCAUUCUUCAUUUUCGUCUCCGAGAGAGUAGGAAAACCAUAUUCUUUCUCUGAUUUUUCAGGAAGAGAGAAGAGACUUCUCACAUAGAGAAUAAAAAAUAAAAAAAUUAUUUAUUUUUAAUAGUGAUAGUUUCUAUGUAGUUUUAAAACUCCCUAAAACUAUUUCCCCAUUUUCUCAUUUAUUUGAGUCAGGUCGGGUCAGUCCACUUGGACACCCAAACCCAACUCCAACAUUGUGGAACUUGGAAGUGUAGUUUAUCUCACUGCUGAACAUGAGAACUUUGUUGGACAUGGUGGGACAUCACUUGGGUCUCUUGAACACUGAAGAGCCCAACAUUUAUAUUGUCAUUUAGUUUGCACCAUAUGCAGAGCCCAGUUCAAACAUGAUAUUGAAAAAAGUUCUAUACACAAAUACAGCUGAUGGAUAGGAGAAACAAAACAGAACAUCAGAUGGAUAAAACUUAGUAAACUAAAUAAACGGUAAAGGAUUCAUUGGAUCUCCUCUUAGCUAUCGCCCUUCUCCUAUGGAGGCUACAAGCUCAUUCUUCCAGGAGGCUUCAGCCUUGCUAGAAGAAGAAGCUGUACUAGAAAGGUUCCUCUUUACAACAAAAGCUGGUUCUUUAGGAACGGGCACUGUUGCAGCAUCACUGCUGAGCAGAAGAACUGCAAUGGCCAUGGUGGGACGGUCACUUGGGUCUUCUUGCACACACAACAGCCCAACAUUUACACACCUCGAAAAUUCGUUUGUGUUGCAUGUUUCACUUAGUGUCUGGUCCAUCAACUCCAAAACCUUGUCUUCUUUCCAUAGCUUCCAUGCCUAGAACAGUUCAAAAAGUUGUAGGUCAGAUGAACAGAGAAUGACUAAAAGAUCAGUACAAAUGAAAGAUUCAAAGCUCUUACAUGACCUAGAAGACUCAGAGUUCGGUCAGACUGAUAAAAUCCAGUGUUCCUCUUCCCACUGAUGAUCUCAAGUACCAUAACACCAAAGCAAAAGACAUCAGACUUCUCUGAGAAAUAUCCAUCCAAUGCAUACUCCGGAGACAUAGCCACUGCAUUGAACCAGUUAAAAGCAGCACUCAGCUAAUUGGGAAACGCAAUCAUACAACCGCUUGCCUUUUUCGAUACAAAAUAUACAAUACUUACUAAGUUCCAACUACUCUGUUCGUGUUUGCCUCUACUUGCUUACUGUCAAAAAUCUUUGCCAAGCCAAAGUCUGAAAUUUUGGGAUUCAUCUCAUCAUCAAGUAGAAUGUUGCUUGUUUUUAAGUCCCUAUGAAUAAUCUUCAAUCUUGAAUCUUGGUGAAGAUACAGCAGCCCUCGAGCAAUUCCCAUAAUGAUGUCAAACCGCUUCUCCCAGUUCAGUAACAUGCAUAGGGUUCAAUCUUGCAAGGUUCCCAUUGGAAAGCAUUACUUCAGAUAUGUAUACAAGAAUGUAUAUGUUACAUGAAAAAGAAAAGGGCUUUAAGGCAGGUUUAGAGACAAACCAAAUAUGAAGGAAUCUAAGCUUUUGUUGGCCAUAUAUUCAUAGAGUAAAAUCUUCUCAUCACCUUCAACACAAUAGCCCAAAAGUCUAACCAGAUUCCGAUGCUGAAGUUUGGCAAUUAACACAACCUCAUUCUUAAAUUCCUGUAAGCCUUGUCCUGAAGCUCUAGAGAGUCUCUUAACCGCAAUUUCUCGCCCCUCUAGAAACUUGCCCUGGAAGCCACAGUGCAUAUGCAUUGGGCAUAUGUUAGAACUUGGUGACUUGAAUUCUGUUUGGUUCAACUCCAGAAGCUCGAGAUGCGACAUAGGUAGUAAAACUAAAAUUAUGAAAUUUUUUUGGGUCUAUGGUAGUAACAGAGGGAUCGGACCUAUUACUCUUUCAUGUAUAUAUAUGCAUGCAAUGAUGUAUAGUUUUCAGGGUUAUGAUCAUUAUAUUUUUGCUAUAGUCGUUAGUAUCUCUUUCCUCUUGUACUAAUUUUUGAUAUAGUAAAAUUUCUUCUCCUCAUGGUCUUUCCUAUUUAGGGUUUUCCACACAAAUCUAUGUGUUUUUAUCCUGUUUUAUUUCUUAUUGCAUAUUCUCAUUAUUUUGUAACAUCAUAUAUGAUGAGAAAUCAGUUGAAAAUGAGAGGAAUAUGGAAGUUAAGAACAAUUACCUUGUAAACUGGCUCAAAACCCCCUUGUCCAAGCUUAUUUGCAUCUGAAAAGUUUUCUGUAGCAGCCAGUAUGUCUUCUAAGUCGAAAAACGGUACAUCAAUGCCUUUCUUAUCCUCUUCUUUGAAUUGCUCUGAGUCUAUUAAGUGUUUCACACGACUCUCACUAUCAUAUAAGUGAAGCACUUGAUUUGCUCUGUUCUCUGAACUAAAAAAAAAAACAGAAAAUAUUGUAUAGAAGACCCUGAAAUAUUCUCAAUUCAGCCAAGCACAAGUCGAAAAGAAAAGACCAGAAGUUAUAUGCUAGUGCAUAUGGCACAAAGAUUACCUUUCCUUUUGGUGAUGGUUCUUUUGCGCAAAUAAGCAAUAUAACCAAUGAUGCCUAAAACUGCAACUAGAACGACAGCAAUUGUUAUGCCUACCACAACCACUGGAAAUGACGACGAUGACUUCUGAUCAGCAGGCUUUGUAGGCUCUGCAGGAUUGACACCUGACACAAAGAAGGAACUGAAUUGAACUUCUCUCACCUACCCAGAAGGCAAAUUUAGUAAGAUACUGGGAGUGUGGCAGUGUCACUGCUGAGCAUUACAACUGCAACUGCCAUGGUGGGACGGUCACUUGGGUCUUCUUGCACACACAACAACCCAGCAUUCACACACCUCAAAAAUUCUUUUGUGUUGCAUGUUUCGCUUAGUGUCUGGUCCAUCAGCUCCAACACCUUGUCUUCUUUCAAUAGCUUCCAUGCCUGGGACAGUUUGAGAAUAGAAAGUUAAGUAUGGUAUGGUAUAUUGUUGAGAACGACUAAAAGAUCAAUGCAAAUGAGAGAUUCAAAGACCUCACUUGACCCAGAAGGCUCAGUGUUUGGUCAGACUGAUAAAAUCCAGUGUUCCUCUUCCCAUUGAUGAUCUCAAGCACCAUAACACCAAAGCUAAAGACAUCAGACUUCUCUGAGAAAAACCCAUCCAAUGCAUACUCUGGAGACAUAUAGCCAUUGCAUUGAACCAGUUAAAAGCACUACUCUGUUAAUUGGGGAUGCGAUCAUGCAACUACUUGCUUUUUUCUAUACACAAUAUGCAAUACUUACUAAGUUCCAAAAAUAAUUUAUGGUGUCAGUAUUUAUGGUGUCACUUUUAAAAUAAUGACACCAUAUGACUUAAAAUCCAUAAAGGUGACACCUCAUAUAAAAAUUUUCAAUAAAGAUAAAUGAUAUUAAUUUUAAGUUUAUAGUGUCAGUUUUUGAAAAGUAACACUAUAUAAAAUAAAAAUUUUAAAAUACUAUAACUUAAUGAGCCCGAGAAUAAUAAUAGUAUAUAAAAAACUCAUUAUUUCCACAUACCCACAAUCCAAAAAAUCUCAUUAUAUAACCCUAACCAUAAUUUUCUUCUACCUCUUCUCACACCCAUAGUUAACACACAACUGCUCUUCUUUACUUCAUGGAUUCUCAAGUAAUCCAAAAUCUCUUAGAUCUAUCAUUUUCAUUUUUUUUCAUUAAUGUCAAAAUCUUUAUUAGCACAAUUGAUUUAUAUUCAUUGAUUUGGUAUAUCUGUGAUGUGGAUUAUGUAAAUAGUGUUUUUUUAUUAAGUUGUAAGAAAGUAAAAAUUAAGUUUAACAUUCCACCAUAUCUUCUAUUUCAUUGUUAAACCUAUAAACCUCAAAAUGAAUGAAAAUAAGAUAAAUGAAUGAUUUUUUUUAAUUUAUUUCAUACUCAAGAAUGAGGGAUAAACAUUUUACAGUAUGAAAUUUUCUUUUGAUCUUACAAGAAAUUUCCUUUGAUGCGACUUUCUGUUUGUUUUCUAGGAAUAUUAUAGUAUAUUGUGAUGACGAUAUGUGUUGGUGAUAUUUGAAAAAUAAUUUUUAGAAAGUUAUCUUAAUAUUGUUAUCUCCCACAAAAGGAAAAAUGAAAUAGUUUCCAUAUCAUGUUGGAGUUGGUUUGGAAUGUUGGAAUUAACAAUGAAAAAUUAAUUUUUUUUAUUAAUGUAAAAGAAUUGUUUUUUAAAAUUUAAAUAGGAAUGAAAAUUUUUAUAAUUAUAAGAAUGAUCAAAUCUUAUAUUUUAAUUUUUUUAUUCUUUUACAUGGUAUUAUGGUUAAUAUCUUAUCUUGUUCUAUUCAUAUUGUUUCUAUUCUUAAAAUGUGUUUUUUGUUUUUUUGUCUUUACCUUUUUUUAUAUGCGUCGACCAAAAUUUAUAAUUUCCGUUUUAAGGUUAGAAAAUUUCUAUAAAAUCCUUUUACUACAUAAAUUUUUUCAAUUACUUCCAUAAAACUCUUUUUUUUUUUUUUUUUUUGAAAGAAGAAGAAGAAGAUGUUUUAUCUUUUGAUUUUCUAUGAAAUUUCCUUUAAUUGGACUGUUUGUUUAUUUUCUAAGAAUAUUAUAGUAUGUUGUGAUGAAGAUAUUGGUUGGUCAUAUUUGGAAAAUAAUUUUUGAGAAAAUUAUUCUCAAUAUUGUCAUCUCUCGCAAAAGGAUUAUUUUUGCUUUCUUUUCUUAUUGUUUUUAUAUGCAUUGACCAAACUUUGGAGCAAUUUGAAAUUGAUGAUGAAAUUUUCCUUUCAAGGUUAGGAAAUUUCUAUAAAAUCCUUUUAUUACAAAUUUUUUUCCAAUUCUUUCCAUAAAACUCUUCAUUUUCUUCAUUUUUCUUUUUUCUGAAAAAGAUGUUUGAUAAUUUAUUGAUCUAAAGAAUAUUAAAAGUAAAAAAAAUUAAAAUAUUGAAUAUAUUUUCCUUUGAUGUUUUUAAUUUUUUAUUAUUUGAACACAAUUUCAUAUCCAAAUUUUUUAUUAAUUAUUUUAAUUAGAAAAAAGAAAUAUCAAUUGGAGUUUUGACUGAAAAAUCAAUAAUUUUUAUGAAAAGCUCUUUAAUUCUUUCUCAUACUAUUUUUUCUCUUAAUAUUUUUUAAUAAUGAAUUAGGUUUUUUGUCUUAUAUACACAAUUUUCAUGCUUGUUAUAAUAUCAUGUCCUAUCAUAUUAGUAGUUGAAAACAUUUUGAUAUUUUGUUACUAAAAUUUUAUUUUAUGUAAUUGAGAUGAAAUUUAAUGGACAUUGUUAUUUCAUAAAAUGAACAUUAAAAAAAUAUUGAAAUUAAGAAAAUCCUUCCAAGAAAUAUAUAUAUAUAUAUAUAUAUAUAUAUAAUGUUAAAAAUGAUUUUUAAAAACAUAAUGAAUUAUAAAAAAUAAAUUUAAAAAGUGCAUAUUUUAAGUGGAAGAUUAGUAUUUUCUAAAUUUUAGAUUUAUAUUUUGAUUUGGUAGUUUUGAUUUAUUUUUUAUUUUCUUGAAUUGUUUUUAUUUGAAUUCAAAUGUGACUACUUUGUUAUGAGAUUCAUUAAAGAGAUAAUUGUUGAUUCUAUAGUUAUUGCAUUAAAGGUUUUACUCAUUUAAUGAAUUGCACAUAGUUUCAUACUUCCAAUUAUUGUGAUAUUAAUGUUAUUAUCAUUUGAUUAUAGUUUGAUGAUAAAAAAAAAAACAUAUUCUUAAGUAGAAUGUGAUGAAAUUAGAGGAGAAUUGACUACUUUUAUAUUAUAACUAAUCAAGAAUCAUGUUGAUGUAUCGUGAUCAUGCAUGGUGAGUCCCUUAGUUGUUAUAUGAAUUUUCCAUUGGUAUUGUAUAACAUUACUUAUUCUUUACAAAUUAUUUUUAUAUCAAAAUGGAAAAAAGAAAAAAGAAAACAUUAGUAGUUAGAUUUGUUUAUUUUUUAUAACAUUAAUUAAUUUUUAUUUUUAAUAAAAACUCUAAAACUCAUUAAACUAUGAAAUGCAAGUAUACACUCUUGGAAGGACAGUAUGAAGAAUAAAAAGAAAGGAGAAAGAGACAACAAGAUUUUGGGUUUUUAGAUGUAACUUUUAUGCCAUAUAUUAUAGGACAUAAACGUUACUUUAUUUGGUAUUGAGAAUUUUGGGUUUUUGGAUGCAACACUUGUGUCAUUUUAUGGUUAGCCAGUUUUAUGCAUAUGAAUUGUAGGUAUACAUGAAUGUUGGGAUGCUUAACAUUUCUAUGUCAUGUUUUAAUGUGCAUUCACUUUUCCUUUUUAGUUUUGGUGGGUUUGAUGUACUAUCAUUUUGUGAACAUUUGAUAUACAAAUAUUAUUGGAUGAUUUAAUGUAUUACAAGUUGAUCUUAUUUAUUAAUAAGCAUUACAAAAAUCUAUAGGCUAAUCAAUAAAAAACAACCAUAUAUUCCAUAAUCAUUUACAAUGAUGUGACACCAUAACUCAAAGGUGAUGCAUUUAACGUGGCACCAUAACUCAAAGGUGAUGCAUUUAAUAUGACACCUUAUAUAUCUCACACAACUCUAUAUCAAAUUAAGCAUUACUAAAAAUAUAUGGUGCUGCUUCUGAAUGUGUCACCAUUUAUCUACAUUGGUGUCGCUUCCAAAUACAUCACCAAUUGGUACCCUCUAUGGUGUCAGUGGAUAAGGUGACGCUAUGUUGUAGUGACACCUUAUGUUUAUAGUGACUCAUUAUAAAUGCCACCAUAUAUCUUUUUCCUUGUAGUGUAUUCACCCCCUCCCCCUCUAGGUGUAGUCCAUUAUUGAGAUUCACCUUUUCAUCAUCCAUCCACAUGCUAGGAAGAAAAGUAUCAGUAAGAUUAUGGAAGCUCUCCCAAAGAAUCUCCCCUGAUCUGUUGUCACUUAAAACAAGGUUCCCGGAGUCCAUGAGCUUCAUCACCAUGCCUGUAGAUAAAGAUGUCUCAGUAUUAGAAGACCAAUGAACUUUCCCAUUUUCAUCCAAUAAUUUGAGCUUACCAUCGUCUUUAAUGGCAAAAACUCCAGAGAGGGGAUCAGAAAGGGGAAGGGGGCUGUCUCGGUUGGCCACCCAUACAACUCUUUGUGGUUUCAACAAGUAAUACCAUAUGCCAAUGUAUUUGCCAUUGUUGAACCUUCCAUCCGAAUUAAAGAAGCCAAGUUCAAAAGUUUUGCCUACAGAAACAAGAGUUCCUCCAUCAUUUCUAAGCCAAUCCUCUAGUGUGAUGGUAUCUCUAGCAGAGCAAUAUAGGACAGAACAUAAGAAAAAGAUGGUUGAUAGCAUGUGAGUUGUAGAGACAGGAACCAUGAAUUUUCUUCUUAUCAUUUUGCCCUCUAUUGUUGUUAGUCAAAGAACCAUGAAGAGUUGCAGAGACAUGAACCACAAAUUUUCUUCUUAUCAUUUUGCCCUCCAUUGUUGUCAGUCAAAGAACCAUGAAGGGUUUGCUACUGUUGUAUUGCACUCUCAUUUUUAAUGGAGACUUUUCCUUUUGACUCUUGAGUGGAGAAAAUUCAUAUCAGUAUUCUUAUCUUGAUUUCCCUUUUUGAUGCAUAGCUUUCAUCUCUGGACUUUUGUGGCAACUUGAGUCUUUAAGAUGGCAACUUUAAUAUGCUUCCUGGUGUCUUCCAAGUAUUGACGUUUUGUAUGCAUCACCCUCCUCCUUCUACACCAAUUUGUUUCUUUGUAUGUAUAGUUUUAUCUCUUCUAAGCAAUAAAGCAUAUGGCAUCAACCAAUAAAUUUUUCUGUACUUUCUCCAAUUUGGAGGAGCUUCGUAAUGGGACAAACAAGAAAAAUUAGAAGUUUAUUUGGCAAUGCUUGUAGAAACAGUUUUUCAUAACAAUGCUAAGAAACAGUUCUCAAAUGUUUCGACUAACUCAAAUAUAAGAACUAGUUUUCUUUGUUUAUUCUCGUACGUACAAAGCGAAAGUUUAAAAAAUAUUCUUUAUUUUAUGAAUUUUUAUCCAAAGAACUCCAUAAAAAUGAAAAAAAUUACAAACACCUCAAAAUGAUUCUAAAAUAUAAUUCAUCUGCAUAACAAAUUUGGCAAAAAAAAAAUCAUUUUUCAUCAAAUGUCUAUCAAACGUGUUUUCUAAUUUACAAAACAAUUUUCUGUUUAAAUAAAAAAAAUCUAAAAUAACUACUAAACAUACCCUGAUUUUUGUUUUAAGCUUUUUUCCUUCUCAUGUCUUCUAAUUUCCAUGCAAUGAAUUAUCCACUUCAAACAUUUUUGUGCCAAAGGUAAAGCAAAGGAGAGAAUUACUAAAACAAACCCAGGAAAAUUAAGAAUCAAAGGACAAAAGGGGUUCAAGGAAGUGAUAAAUUUUCUCAAUGAAUUAACUUCACUAAUUGCUCAAAGGCAAGUUGUCAAUUGUUACAGAAUAGUGAAUAUAGGAAAUAAGAAAAACAAAAUAUGAACAUAUAGAUUUGUGUGAAAAAUCCUAAACGAGAAAAACCACGGACGGAUGAGAAGAAGAUCCACUAUAUCAAAAAUUGGUAUAAGAGGAGAGAGUUACGAGCGUCUAUAGCAUAACCCUAAAAAUACAUCAUCACAUAUACACACACAUAUGUAUAUAUAUAUAAAGCAGGUUCAUACUUUUGAAUUCAUUUAAUCUUUAUAUAAUGAAGGAAAGUAAAAUAAAUUAGAAAAAACAUAUGAAAUAAUUUAUUAACUUCGAAUUUAUUUUUUUAUUUUCUUUUGUUUUUUCCUUUCUUCUAUUUUUCCUCUUUAUUUUUUUUUUUCCAUAUUUUGCCUUAUAUUUUUUGAGAACCAAAUAUAGUCUUAAAGUUUCUUGGAAACUUUGGACUUUAGAAAAAACUUAACCUUUUUUUCUUGGGAAUAAUUUUCUAGAUUUGAGGUACAUUAUCUUAGGGGUGUACUAAGGAUGUCAAAAUACUUUCAAAAUCUAACUCCUAUUUUUUGGAAAGUUAUGAAUUAAUAUUUCUUUUUUUUUUUUUUUUUACUCUUUCCAAAUCUAAUUUUACUAGGAACCAAAUUUGUGAAUUUUUGCACAAAAUCCUAUCCAAGAGAGGAUCUUUUAGAAAUCUCAUCCAUUCUAUAUUUGAUUGAUAGAGAAUUAAAACCACGGUUGUGCAAAAAGCAUAUGAACAAAUAAAAUUAGACCAAGAUAUAUAUCAAUGAUUCAACUUAGAAGAAUAAUGCAUUAGAUUUCUACACUUUGAGUAGUUGCCUUGAUUAAGUCCAAUUACUAGAAGCCAAGGUCAAGGUCAUCGAAGUUUGUCCAUUCUCUUUCAUAAUUUCUUUUUUCCUCACUAAAGGAUAGAAUAUCUCUUUUACAAAUCUUGUCUAUUCUUGAUUGAUUUGGUAGAGAAUUUUAAAAAGGGUUGUGCCAAAAGCAUGUCAACAAUUUAAAAUGGACCGAGAGACGAAGCUUCUCAAUGAGUGGAUGUAUAUCUUUGUCAAUCCUUCAACUUUGAAGAAUAAUGCAUUAGACUUCUAUGCUUUAAGUAGUUUCCUUGAUUGAGUCCAAUUAUUAGAAGCCAAAGUCAAGGUCAUCGAAGUUUGUACAUUCUCUCUUGUGGUCCCAUGGUAUUUGCUCUUUUUUACCUCAUUAGAGGAAAAAACAUUAACACAGCUUCAUGUGGGAACCAACCUUUCUUUUAGCAUCCAUGAUAGUUUUUCUUCCCAAUAAUUAGAAAAAGAUUCAUGAGGACCCCAUAUGAGAACUAUUAUUGGUGAUUGUAUAUAGAAAUAAAGAGAAUUCAUUUAUCCUAUAAAAAACAACCCCUUCCUAACGAUUAUAUAAUUUAUUGGUAACAAUGUGAUAGAAAAUUUUGAGACACAUAUUAUAGAUGAAUCUUGGUUAUGGAUUAUAGUUAGAGGGGGUAAAUAGUUAUUUUUUCCAACUUAGAGAUGGUUCCCAAAGAAGGCUAUCAUUCCCUUCAUUUUUCCCCCUAAAUUCCAUUUUAAUAUUUUGAGCACAAAAUCAGAAAACAUAUGCAAGAAUAGAUACACCGAUAUAUUGUCCCUACAAUGUAAACAAUGUUUAUCAUAAUGAAUCAAGAGUGUACAUACAAACACUUUGAUGUUGGAUUUGAUGGGAAAACAAAAUCAUAACAGUUCACAAGGUAUAAACAACUCAUCACCCAAAUCACAAACACAAAGGGAUACAUAAAAUACCACCCUAAAGAAAACAAUAAGGGAUAUGAAGUUAACUUUAAGAGAUACAAAGUAUAAAAAGAAAAUCAAAAUCUGCUAAAACAAUUUAUCUUUAAAAUGUGUUGAAUAUCCCUCUGAACUAGCUAGCCAAUUUGCUUCAAAUGUAGUGAUUCCAAGAGCAUAUGACAGCUAAGACAAUAAACUUUCCAUUGACAUAUGGUUGACAUAUUAAUUUAGGACCAUUUGUCCCCAGUAAAUUUUCAAAGUUGUCUCUAGUUUCAGAAUUCCCGCUCAUGCUACUAGAGUAAGAAUUUGCAACUCUUUCAACUUAUUUUCAAAGUCUAUGUGUUGGGACACUCCCAUGUCACACUCUCCCAAUAUUAAUUUAAAUAUAGAUUCAUAUUAAUUAGUCUAUGAAUGAUUUGCUUAUCCUCUUGCAAAAUAGUUAAUUUGAUUAAUGAUGAUCUUAAAAGCUUUUAAGUUAUAAACAUAUCUUUGGAUGAUUAAUGAACAUGAUUAUGUGUUCUUUACAAUUUUGAUUUGCUCAUAUAAGCUAAUAACAUGUCUUUUAAGUGACUUGAAAAGCUUGAAGAAGGGCCUUGUGAUUCCAUAAAAGCUUAGUAAUGAUCCUCAAAGUUCAAAUGCAAGCUUAUGUCUAUUUAAUAUGUCUUAAAGAAUUAGUACCACAUAAAAUGAAGUGAUGUCUAGUGUCUAUGUGUUUUGUCCUAGAGUGAAGAACAAGGGAAUUGAAGUUGCUACUUGCACUACUAUUAUCAUCCAGUACAAUCAUGAUUCCUUGAUCUAUUUCAUAAUCACUUUACAAUUGCUUGAUUCAAAGAAGUUAGGCACAAGAACUACCAAUUACAUAUUCCGCUUCAUCUAUGGAUAGUCAAACAUCAUUUUGUUUCUUACUCAUCUAAAUCAAGAUGUGAAAUAGAAAAAUGUAUACUUCAAUUGCAAAUAAAGUGGACAAUGUUCCCUUGCUUUUUAAUUAUGAGAGCUAGCCUCACAUGAGCAUUUGGUUUAGAACUAGGUAAUCAUUGAGUCAUCUCCACUAUCUAAUUAAGCCCUUGAAGUCCAAAUACAAGCGAUGAGGUUUGACAAUUUUAUGCUAUGCAAUUAAUGAUAAUGUAGAGAGGACCAAAAAAACAGAGGAGCUUCCUAUUGACACUCAUUAGGAAAAAAAAUUACAUUGAAGCAUAAGAAUAAAUACUCCAUAAAAUUCAAUUUUAAUGAAAUUAUAUAAUACAAAUGAAAAUGAUGUUGUUAAAGAGCAUGGUAUAUAUUGUGAACUCAAAUUCUACAAGUUAACCUUUUAGAAAAAUUGGUAAUUGAGUAGAGCUUGGUUUGACGGGAGGUCAUGUGUUCAAGAGUCGCUUCUCCCCAAUUUGCAUAUUUAUUUCCUCCUAGGCUACCAAUGAUCUCAUUCUUGGAGCAUGUGUUUCUGGUUUGGUAGAAGAAGCAGCAGCCCUACUAUAUAACAGUGGAAGAAGCAUUAGAAUCUUUGUCUCUUCUUCAAGGUCUUUAGAUUUUUUCAAUUUGUUUUCUUUUCAAUUCUCAUGCAUACAUCUAAUUUUCCACUUCCAUAAUAUUUUAACCUCUGGAUGUGAAAUAGUAUUUGUAGAUCAAUCAAAAGUAUUCCAACGUAAUAUGUCACUAUAUAAUAAUCCAAUAUUUCAACCUCUAUAUCUGAAAUAGUAUAUGUAGAUCAAUCAAAAGCAUCCCACCAUGUAUAUUCAGCUAAUGUAAUCGCUACCACCAACAAAACUAAUUAUUGGUUUCAUUUUAAGAUGUUAUAGCUAAUAAAUCCCUACUUUCCUUACCAUCAAUUACUCAAUAGAUAUCAUGCUUCAAUUUAUUCCUAAUUCCAACGGUAAAUCACUGGUAAUAGAAGGCAUGAUAUACAUAUAUAGGGUCAUUUCUUUGAGUGACUUUACUCAAAAGGAUGGUCUUGAUUACAACUAGCAAAUUCUGUUUAUAAGAAGACCCUAUACAAAACUCACAUGGCUAUGAUCAUUACUUGAGUCACUAUCACACAGAAUUCAUACCAGUUUUGUUUACAAAUUGUUCUUAGGAAGAACAUAUUCCAACUGGGGGCUAAUACAAGUAGAGGUUCCAAGCUACAGACCAAGAAGGUAUGUACCAACAGAUACCUAGCUAGGAUUGCUUCUUCUAGUAACGGUUGGUUAUUAGCACAUAAAAAUGUGAGCAGGCAACUAAGUUGGAACCUUAUAGACACCGUUAGUCUCCCUAGCUUAUGAUAAAGAAUCUUUAAGGCCAUUAAGUCAACAGUUCACACUUACUAACUAGGUUUUUCUCUUUGUCGUGACUUUUUUUUUUCUUAUGCUUUUGGUAGAGCCUUGGUUAACACAUCUGCAAUUUGAUCCUCAAUCUUGCAAUAAAGCAGUUUAACUUCACCAUCCUUUUGUUCUUCUCUUAAGUGAUACAACUUGAUCUUGAAAUGCUUAGUCUUGCCAUGAAAAACAUAAUCAUUUGAAAUUGCAAUUGCAGCUUGGUUAUCUACAUGAAUCUGUGUUGGCUCAUUUUGCUUCAUGUGUAGAUCUGCAAGUAUUUUUCUGAUCCAAAUUGCUUGAUUUACAGUAGCAUUGGCUGCUAUAUAUUCUGCAUCUGCUAUACUUUGAGCUAUCACAUCUUGCUUCUUUAAGGACCAUGAAAAAAUUCCAAAUCCAAAGCUGAAACAAAAUCCUGUUGUACUUCUCAUGUCAUCAAUAGAACCUGCCCAAUCACUAUCAGAAUAACCAUGAAGUUUAAAAUUCUGAUAGUAAGAAUAUUUAAUGCCAUAAUUUGUUGUGCCCUUGAUAUAUCUUACAAUCCUUUUGGUAGCUUGAAAAUGCACUUCACUAGCACAAUGCAUGAAUCUUGAAAGCAAGCUUAAUGAAAACAUUAUGUCUGGUUUGGUGGCUGUAAGAUACAUCAAGCAACCAAUCAGGCUCCUGUAUUGGCUUUCAUCCACUUUUUCUGCUCCAUCAUCUUUGCUAAAUUUCUCCUUCUGAUUCAUUGGUGUGUUGGUCCUUUUGCAAUCUUCCAUGUGAAAUUUGUUAAGUAUUUCCUUUGCAUACUUCUUUUGGCUUAUGAAGACUCCAUCAUGAUCUUGCUUCACCUCCAUACCUAGAAAGUAGGACAUCAAGCCAAGGUCUGUCAUCUCAAAUACUUUGAGCAUUUCAGCUUUAAACUCUUUUACCAGUUUCUCAUUGCUACCUGUUACAAACAGAUCAUCAACAUAAACAGAAACUACAAUUAAGUUAGCAUCUGUUCCUUUUAUAUAUAAUGUAGCUUCACUUGGACUUUUAACAAAUCCAAGACUUUGAAGAUGUUCAUCAAUCCUGCUGUACCAGGCCCUAGGAGCCUGUUUAAGACCAUAUAAGGCCUUUUUCAACAAGUAAACCUUCUCCUCUUGUCCAUUGACUUGGAAUCCCUCGGGCUGCUCUACAUAAAUUUCCUCUUGAAAAUAACCAUUUAAAAAAGCAGAUUUUACAUCCAACUGGUAAGUCAUCCAUCCAUUUUGUGCUGUCAAAGCAAGCAACAUUCUGAUUGUAUCCAAGCGUGCUACUGGAGCAAAAGUUUAUGAGAAAUCCACUCCAAACACUUGACUAUACCCCUUCAUAACUAAUCUAGCUUUGUAUUUAUUUAUAGAACCAUCUGUAUUAAGUUUGGUUCUAUAAACCCAUUUGACUCCAAUGACCUUUCUGUGUUGAGGUAUGUCCACCAACUCCCAGGUGUCAUUCUUUUCAAUCAUUCUAAGCUCCUCUUUCAUUGCUUCAGUCCACUUGUCAUCCUUCUCUGCCUCUUCAAAUUCUGCAGGCUAAAAAACAACAACAUUACUUCUUUCAUAAACAUCAGAUAAGGACCUUGUACCUCUAACUAGGACAUCAUCUAUGUUUUCAUCAAAGUAUUGAGGAACCUCUGGUAGUUGCAUCUUUAUUGACUCCUCCCAAUUCCAUUGUCUAUCCUCUAUGAACUUGACAUCUCUACUUACAAGAAUUUUUCCAUUUUGUGGUUGGAAAAUUCUGUAAGCCUUGGAAGAGUUGCUAUAUCCAAUGAAAACUCCUGGUUCUGCCUUCUUAUCAAGUUUGUCUCUUUUCACCUGUGGCACAUAAGAAAAACAAAGACAACCAAAGUUCUUAGAUUCUGCAAAUCUGGUUUAUAACCAAACCAGGCUUCAAAUGGAGUUUUUUUUUUUUUGCAAAACUCUAGUUGGCAGCCUAUUCAGCAAAAAACUGCAGUGUUUGCAGCCUCUGCCCACAAUUUCUUUGGCAACUCCUUCUCAUGUAGCAUACACCUUGUCAUCUCCAUAAUACUUCGAUUUUUUCUCUCACUUACUCCAUUUUGUUGUGGAGUGUAAAGUGUUGUGAGUUGGUGCUCAAUACCGGCUUCUUCAUAGAACUUAUCAAAAAUUUCAUUUGUGUAUUCUUUCCCAUUAUCUGACCUUAUCUUCUGCAUCCUGCAACUGCUUUGAUUCUCCACCCAUGCUUUAUAUUUCCAAAAUACAUUAGGAACCCCAUAGUUGGAUUUGAGGAAAUAAAUCCAACAAAAUCUGGUAUAAUAAUCAAUAAAUGCAAUGUAGUACUUACUACCAUUUAAAGAUGGUGUUUUCUGAGGUCCUCCAACAUCUGUGUGUACCAGUUGCAGCUUGUGCAUUGCUCUCCAUGUUGUUUGAGGGAAGGGUUUUCUAGUUUGCUUUCCAUAUUGACAAGCCACACAAUCAGCUAGCUUGUCUUGCAGCAAUGGCACACCUUUCACCAAAUUAUGUUUCUGCAUAUAUAGAAGUCCAACAUGGUGGAAAUGCCCGAGCCUUCUGUGCCAUAAUUUUGCAUUGCGUUCAAUGCUUGAAAAUGCUAUUUGCUCAUCCUCCAUUAGAUUUAGAGCAAAGCUUUUUGCUCUCAUUUUCACUUUGAAUACAUCUCUACCUUUCGCGUCUUUGAUCAAGCACCAUUUGUCUUCAAAUAUGACUUUGAAACCUUUUUCAGUUAGCUAUCCAACACUAAGCAGGUUUUGAUCAAUGUCAGGCACAUAUAAAACAUUAGUAAUAUACUUCAAACCUAUUAAGCUUUCUAUAGCCACAGUUCCUUCCUUUACCCUUAACUGAAAUAAAUUCACCAUUUCCAAUUUUUACCUUGGAGAUAAUAGUUUUAUCAAGCUCCUUAAAGAGCUCUUGGUCAUUGGUCAUGUGGUUUGUGCAGCCACUAUCAAUCAACCAAGAAUUGCUAGAGUUGUUACUUGUUGUGAAGCAUGUUGCAACAAAAAGUUGCUCUUCUUGAUGUUGCUUAGUAGAAGCUGUAGGGACCCCUCCCUCCGAGAACACGUGGCACGCAUCUUACAGUGACACGUGGCACGCAUCUUACAGUGACACAUGGCACGCAUUGUCAUCCGGGUCAUCCUCAUCCGGAUCUUCCUAUAAAGCACACAUGGCGCACUUUUUAUCUGGACUGCCUCAAGGAAGGGCAAACGACGCUUACAAAGCAUAGACAUUCGGACGGCUUCCAUUAAUGCGUCCGCUCCACAAUACAUCCGGAUAACCAACAUGGACUAUCCGGAUAUGAUUGUCCGGAUCAUUGACUAAAGUAAAGCGAGUCUUACACGCUAUCACAACAACCAACCAUGGCCCACGUCCCAUCACCUGCAGAGUGAAAGGACGGGUUGAGGUGACAACAAGUCACUUCCCACGAUCGUUCUAGAUGAUCACUUCCUACGAUCUCUGAUAGCCGCAUCACCUACCACGGUUUCUGACAGCCGCCCGUAGGGUGGUGAUGACCCUGCUGCCAUCUAAAUAUCAUCAUGACAACAUGAAAUAUCUCCCCACCAUUAAUGAGAGGAACAAUACUCCUGGCACUAUAUAUAAACCUUCACACGAAGAGGAAGGUAAUCGCCUGAUACCUAGAAAAAGGCCAACUGAUUUAUAUCUCCCUCUCUAACCAUGGCUAACAAAACCAUCGGAGGGUGCGUCCGGACACCCUGUCCGGAUGCCUUUUGCAGGUAUAACGACUGAAUCAAGAACCUAUUUUGGUUGAGGUCGCGGAUCCAUCCAUUUGGCAACUACGUGGAACACUAGGAGCGCGAGGUAUCAACAUAAGCUUUUGCCUCUUCAUGUUGUCGUGACUUGCAAAUCCACUCCAUGUGUCCAAUCUAACCAUAUUUCUUGCACUUGACAUCAGGCCUCCACCAACACUUCCUUUGUGGGUGAUUUGUCUUUUUGCAGUGUAGGCAAGGUGGAUAGGUUCCAUCCUUGUUUUUGUUGUUGUUGUCAGUCUUGUUGAUCUUCUUCUUAUUGUUGUUUUUCUUGUUUUUGCCUCAUCUUGAAUUUUAUGCCUUUGCUUGAAGAGCACCCUCCAUCGAUUCUUCUUUUCUUAUCAUUCUCCUUUGCUCUUGUGCCUGCAAUGCAUUCACCAAUUCUACCAAGGAUAUGCUUGACAAAUCCUGCAUAUAUACUUGAGUGUUGCAUUUACAACACACUGAAAGAGAAGUUCACCUAUAUCAGAAACUGCCACACGCACAUAGAGAUCAUGGCCGCCAUCCAAAUACGCCUCCUGAAUGUCAUUAAGAUUUUCCUCCGAAAUCAUACUGAUGGCGGUGUCUGCACGAGUCUCGACUUCAACAUAGGCAUAAGCCUGGCAGUUGUUACAGUCUCUGUUGCAGUGAUUUUCGCAUUCUUUUUCAUUUGUAGUACUGUUGAACUGUGUGUCUGAUUUUUUCACUCUCAUCAUCUCUAGCCUCAAAAAAGUGUCAUUCUUGCUGCACAGGGGUGAAAUUCUUCUACAGUCCCCCGAAAAAUCUCCACCAUUCCACUUUGCUGGAAAAUUUGGUUGGAAUCCUGGCAAACACCUGCACAAAAUCCUAUUUCUAGUACUGCAGCUGCCAAAACUUCCACAGGGAUUAUUCCCAUCGCAUCUGUCUUUUGGUUCCUUCAAAAGCGAAUACCAAGAGCCCGUCUGAUUACGGAUCUGUAGAUACUCUAUCUGGCCGGAAAAUUUCAUCACCAACCUCCUAUAAUAAAAAGAGGUUGUUGGUUGGCUACUAUUAAUGCUGGAAUUUGAUAACAUUUUGGAUAAUUCAGAAUACAUCUUAUGGUCCCAACCGGAUGUAAUGAAAUCAUCUGAUAUCCCACUCUUCCAGUAUGUAUUAGGCCCAUUCUGGAUGAUGUACAGGUUCUGUGCUACUUGAUCUUUCCUGAAAGUGAAGUUCCCCGAACCCGGGUCACUGCUGCUUUUCCAUGAAGUCAACACCAAGUUGCCAUCCAUCUUCAUACCUGGAAGAAAAGUAUCAGUUGCGUUUCCAAAGCUUUGCCACAGACUUGUUGGUAGCUGAUCAUUCUUCAGAACCAGGUUCCCGGAAUCUAUGAGCUGCGCUAGCUACCUUUUCUGUAGAUGACGAUUUCUGGAGAGGGGUUGACCAGAAAGGUCUCCCUCUUCCAUUCGAAUUCAACACGAGGUUACCAUCUUGAAUGGACAAAACUCCAGUGGAAUCAGGCAGUGGGUCGUUUCUAUUGGCUACCCACACAACGGUUUUCGUCUCCAACCUGUAAUACCAUAUACCAACAUAUCUUUGGUGACUAGACUCCCAUUAGGGGUGAAGAACCCCAAUUCAAAUGUCUUACCAACAGACAAGAGAGUUUCUCCAUCACCAUCACUGAUCGGAUCAUUCUGCCUUAUGGUAUCUCUUGCUGCACAUGUUUGAUAACAACACAACAAUGUUGGGUACAAGAUGAAGAUGGUAGAUACCAUGUGAAUUGUUGUUGACCAUGUAAUUGCAAUUCUUCUUCUUUUGAUUACUAUUAGGUAGUUAAGACUUCCCUUCUUCACUUGGAGCUGUGGUAGAGGCUGCUGCUGAAUUAAUCCCCAGUGUUUUCUGUCAACAACCAUGUCCGGUGUUGUUCCUAAUUCACAAAAAAUGGCAUAUCUCAUUGAUUUGGUAAACCAAUUCAAACAUUGAUCUGGUCAAAUUUUGUGAACUCAUUAUUACAACAUAGUACAUAAGACUUUGUUUGGGAAGUGUUUUAAAUUUUAAAAUUUGGCAUUUCUUAAAAUCUUGACUAAACACAAAGUCAUAGUUUAAAAUUUUAUCGAAUGCCUCUAAUACUUUAAAUCAAGUGAAACGUGAAUGAAAUUAACAAAUAAGAAGAAUAAGAAAUAUAGUUUCACACUUAAGUAACAACUAAUACUAUAGAGAAAUGACCACAAGCUGGAAAGUCUUGACCAAUUUGAAAAAUCAUUUGAUGUAGUUGAAAUAAUUGAAUUUUGGAUAAAAUUCAUAACUGUCUCAACAUUAUUUUUUUUCCCUUUUUAUUUUUAUUGUUUGAAUAUUCAAGAGUUAAAACCAUUCCAAUGCUCCUUUUUGCCAUGUAUAAUUAAACUGAACCAACAAUUAGGAUAAGCACGAAAAAGAAGGAACCGAGAAGAAGAUAUCAACAAUAUUAACCGGUUUUAUUAUGGGACAACUCAUGAUGUUCAUAUUGAUCUAUUAUGCACCUUUGCAUCUAGCAUUAGCUAGACUCAUACUGUCCUAGCUCUACUAUAUCUUUUAUUUCAUUUCGAUCUUCUGAAACAAUCACAAACACUUUUCAUUAUUAUUAUUAUUAUGAAUCAAAUGGGACAUAAAUGAAAUUAACAAAUGAGAAGAGUGAAAAAGGUAAUUAACAAAAUUUCAAGCUCAUCGUUGCUAAAUAUUUUAUAAAUAAAAAUUGCCCAAGAAACGAGCCUUUAAAAGUGUACCUUUAUUUAAAAAUAAAUAAAGGUAAAUUAAAGUAUUGACUUAGUACAUAAAUAUCAACACGAUUCCAAUCCAACGCAUUUUUUUGUGGGUUUUGGUUGAAUAUAAUUCUAUUUAUAUCAAAUCCGUAUCAACUUGUGUAAUAUAUUUUACUAAUAGGUUAUUUUUAAAUCAACAUACAUAACACGAAUUUGACUCAAGUUAACCUUUAUAUUUAAUAAUCAUACCAAUUAACCUAAUUAUAAUUCUAACCGUUUAAUUAAUAUUUGAUUCAUUUUAAAUUUAUUUUUGAACAAAUAGUUAAUUAAAUUAUAACUAUAUUAACUUGUAAGAUUAAUUAUAUAAAUUUAUACAAAACUUAACUCAAUUAAAAAUUUGAUUUAAAUGAGUUAAAUAAAUUACAAAACAUGUUAUUUGUUUAAUAAUUACAUUGUAUUUAGGUUUAUGUUUUUUACUUUAUUAAUAUCAUUAUUAUGAUUGAGUCAACCUAUUUAGUAGAAUGUUUUAGUCUUGAUAUCACACAAAUUGUCAUCCCUAUCUCUAAUCUUGUCAAACAAAUAGUUUGAAGGACAUAUUUUUUUAACUAAAGAAAAUUAUUACCUUACAUAGAGUUUUAUUAAAAAAAAAAAAAAAAAAGCCAAAUAAAAAAAUGUAAUUAAAAAUAAUUAGAAAUUUAUGCAUUUUCAAAUUAUUUAAUAAAUUUAAAGAAGUGAAAUGGAUUUAAAUUGACUUAUAAAAAUAAGUUAUCAACUUCAAAUUUUUUUCCUUUCUAAUUUUUUUUAAAAUUUUUUUCCCUCACAUUUUUUUUCAUAGUUAUAGGAAACAAACAUAACCUAAUUAGGAUCCUACUAUCAUGUUUUUUUAUUCCCAAAAGUUUUUGGGUCUAACCUUUUUCUAAACUUAUUUCAAAGGGCAUCUAUAACACAAGAUAUUAAGUGUGCUUGCUCGACAUGUAGUCUUUCAUUGAUUUCCUUUUCGAUUAAAAACUUUUAGACAAGUCAGAUAUAUAGUUUUUGCUUUCUUAACAGAAACCAAAGUCUAAGUCUUUGCACAAAAUCCUAAUCAAAGAGAUCUUUUAGAAAUCUUAUUGGAAGAGAAUUUAAAACCAGAGUGGUGACAAAAGCACACGAACAAAUAAAAUUGGACAAAGAAAUUAAGCAUCUCGAUGAGUUGAUAAAUAUCUUUGUCAAUACUUCUACUUGAGAGAGAAAUACAUUAGAUUUCUACACUUUUGAAUAGUUGCCUUGAGUGACUCCAAUUAUUGGAAGCCAAGGUCAAGGUCGUUGAAGUUUGUCCAUUUUUUCCCCUUGGUCCCACAUUAUUUGCUUCUCCUUAAUUUCCUCCGGUUUGGGAAAAGGACAUUCACACGGUUUGGUGUAGGAACCACCCUUUCCUUUAGUAUCCAUGAUUACUUUUCUACCCAAUAAUGAGGAAAACAUUUAUGAAGGCCCCAUGUGAGGACUAUUAUUGGUGACUCUAGAAAUAGAGCUAUUCAAUUUCCCUCAUAAAUAGUGUAACAUCCAAAAUAAACUUUAGAGACAAAAUAGUAAAUUAUUAAUUAAUUAAACUCAUUAAAAAUAAACGAGUCAUUUUACAAUUAAAAAUCGUAUCAAUUAGAUUUUCAGUUUAUCUUCUUUAUUUAGAAAACUUUAUUAACAAAAAAUCAAAGAAUUGAAGAACGUAAGGUUAAAGAUUUGGAAGUCUAUAGUUUGAAGUUCAAUUAUUUUUUUUCAAGUAAGAUUCUAACCCUAGAUUAAUAUAUUAUAUUCAUUAGUUAGUUUUGACUGUGUUAGAUAUUUUUAGAAAAUUUUAAUUUAGAUUAUAAUUAGUUUAUUUAAUUUAUUUUAAGAUAUAAAAAAUUGAAAUUAUGAAUGUUGUUUCAUUGAUGAAAAUAGAGAAAUUCAAAAUUUUUUUAGAUGAAUAAAUCUAAACAAUGAAAUUUAAAAAAAUUAAAUGAUUAAAUAAGUAUAUGAUUAUAUGUGGCUUAAGGGAUUGAAAAAUAAUAAAAAGAAGAAUAGCAUGUUUUUGGAUUUUGGAUUUGAGGAACUUUUUAAUAAUAAAAAUAAUUAAGGUUUACUAUUAAUAAGAAUAAUGAUAAUAAUGAUAAUAAUGAUAAUAAUGAUAUUAAUAAUAAUAAGAAGAAGAAUUGUGUGAAGAAUAAUUUCAUUUUCAACGUAGAAAUGUGAUUGUCAAGGCCUCAGUGAAGAGAACGGUAACGGACCCUGCUGUAAACGACGAUGGGUCACGAGCAAACGGUGAAAUUGCGGAUGAACCCCACAACUGUAAAGUGCUUUUGACGCGUAAUGGGUUCCACCACUACCAUUAUUGGGGAAUAUUUCUGGUGGAUGAAAAGCCGCUUUUGGGUUCACGGUUGACUCAUUAAAUCUCCUACCUAUCUCUGAGUUUGUCAACUGAGACCACCGAGUUUUAUUUAUUUAUUUAUUUUUUUCUUUUCCUCGGUUCAAUUUUUGUUUCCAAUACGAGGAAAAGGGCUUUCAAGUCUGACACGUGGAAAGUCAGUGGGCAUCAUAAUUUUGUUACAUUUUUAGGGUUUGUUGGAGCUGCAAUAGGGACAAUAAUUUUUGUAUGGAUAAGCUACAAAUCAGAUAUCGAAUCUAAAACAAAUGUUUAAUGGUGCAACUAAAAGAUGUUUUUUCAAACAUUUUAUUUAUAUUUUUUAUGUGAAAUAUGUUUUUUUUUCUCCCAAAGAAUAGAAAACUAUUUUUAAAAAAAUGUUAUUAACAAAAUCUAAGUAUAAAAUCAAUUAAAAACAAUGAGAUUUUUUUCUUAAAAUUUUCUAUGAUAAGAUAACAUUAGAAUGACACUAUUAGCAAAAUAAAAAUUUAAAGCUAAAUAUACAUUCCUACAAUGUGAAUAAUUAAAUAGCACACAAUCUAAUAUAAUUAUUUAAUUUAUUUCUAAAUUAGAUAUUAUUUAAUUAAUUACCAAAAUUUAGAAAAAAAAAAAAUCAAACUCAAAAUUAAAGAGAACCUAAAUUUUUUUAAAAAAAAUUAUUUAAUAAAAUGUCAAAUACAAAAUUACCAAAAAAAAAUUAACAUUAUUAGAAAAGUUAUAAUAAAAUUAAAAUUUACAUUUAAUGCAAGAAAGAAAAAUAAAUAAAAUGUUGAAUGCAUGAAAAAAAUUAAAUUGAACUUUUAAAACUCAAAAUUAAAUUUAUGGGGUUUCUAUUUUAUUUUUUAUUAUUCGAAAACCUUAUUUAUAUCUAUGAGAUUUUUUAGGGAACUCGCCCAUCUACUGGCUUGGUCAAUGUAAUAUAAACUUCUUUUAAUCAUAUAAAUGUAUUUUAAAAUCAUGAAUAUUGAUUGUGCUCAAAGUAAAUAAUAUCGUAAAUACCUAUUCUGUUCAAAGUGGAUAAUAUCUACAUAAGAAAGAGCAAAUUAUUAUAAAUGAUAUUAAAAUCAAUCCUUGAAUAUGCGAGACUACCUAAAUGGUCUUAGAGGGAUGUUUAUGUGUUUGACCUUUGCAUGGUAUAAGUAAUGAUAUCUAUCUUAUCACCGACCAAUCAUGAAAUAUGAUAUAAUAUCCAUAUUUUAUCUUAUUUUAUACUAUAUCCGGUUAACCAAACAUGACCUAAGGUUAAUUGUUGUAACUAGUCAAGUUUUAGCCAUGACGGAUGCAUACUCAAUCAUGGUAUUAUCUCAGCCUUUUGGGCUUCCAGGACUGGUCCUUUAAAUUUGGGCUCAAACCCAACCUAAUGGAAGAGGGCCUUAACUCAGUUCAUGGGCCUGUCUAGCCUGCCGCGCUGGUUUCCAACUGGCUCGACCCAGCCUAGACUAGGGGUCGUGCCCGUCCACUAUAUUGUUAUAAUUUUUAUAGGAUCAUAGGUGAUUUAUUCUUUGAAUUUUAUAGUAAAGAGACAAAGCUUGAUAAUAAGAAUUUGGACAUUGUCUAAAAAAUUUUAAGGGUGUUUAGCAUCUAAAUUUUGAGAAUUUCUUUGGCUAUAAAAAAAUUUGAGAAAAACUACAAAGAAAAUAAAAUAAAGAAAAAAAGUAAAAAGGAAAAAAAAUGAUGAAAAAUAAUGAAUAAAUUUAAAGUUCAUGCGAUAUUUUUAUAUGUUAUUUAAAAAAAAUUAACUCUUAUAUAUAAAGGUUGAAUAAUUUGAAAAUAUAUAGAUUUCUAAUUAUAUUAAAUUUUCUUACAUAUUUUUAAUGAUAAAAUCAAAUAUGAAAUCAAACAUGAGAAUAUAAUUUUUCUUAAUAAUUUUUAUUUUUAUUUUUUUAACAUUUUUCUUUCUUUUUAUGAUACAUACUCUUAAGUCUAAUCCAAUGAGGUAGAGGUAGUUGUACAUAUAAGGUCCAACUAAUGUUGGUUGAUGUGGGACAUUGAACUUUCGUCUGUCCUAUGUAGUGAACCUACAGAACGAGCAUCCCUAUUCAAUUGUUAAUACUCAAGUCUAGGGUGGGCUAAACCAAAUCUUAUCAUGAUAUCAAAUUAUAUGAGGCCACAUACACUCUCAUGAAAAGCCUAAGCUAAUGGGGUAAAGGUAGCUCCACGUAGAAAACCUAACCAACAUUAGUAAUCAAUUGAAAUGGGACAUUAGACUUUUGUGCUUCCUACUUAACAUUGUUUGAGUUUCUAACAAGGUAAACAACCCUAUUCAAAUAUUUAAUUAUUAGUAGAUCAAGAAUUUGUUAGGUAUUGAUUUUAGGAAUCAUUUCUAAUAUUUUUAGCACUUGGAAAUUUUUAUUAAAAGAGUUAUUUUCUAGUAUUAGAAAUACUAGAAAUGAUUCCUAGAAACCCUAUUCAUUUUAUUUUUUAUUUUUUUUGCUCUUUCUCUAUAAGAGCAAUAUAAAGAGAAUACAACAAGAAGGUAGAUAUUGUUGACAAGAAAGGGAAUAAUUUGUAUAAUGGAAUCUGUAUACACAAUUGCUUUCUUUAAAUGCUUAUAACCCAUAUAUGAUCUAAAUUUGUCUAGAAAUGUCUAAGGAAAGUUGACCUUAUAGAGUAGUAAUCUGCUCCCUUUAGUUAUGCCUGUAACGUAGGGAUUAUACAACUCAUGUCCACACUCUCCCUCAAGUUGGUGCAUAGAUGUCGUUGAUGCCCAACUGCAUACCAUCUUAGUGAGGAUGUCUGCUAGUUGGUCUUCUGAUUUGAAAAAUGGGAAUCAGAUUAUAUUAACUUCUAAGUUUUUCUUGAUAAAAUGUCGGUCUACUUCCACAUGCUUAGUUCAAUCAUGUUGGACUAGGUUAUAAGCAAUAUCAAUGGCUGUCUUGUUAUCACAAAGCAAGUUCAUCUCGCAACAAGGAGAAUAGCCAAUUUCUAUCAAUAAUCUUCUCAGCCAGAGUAACUCACACAACCCCUUAGCCAUUCCUCGAAACUCCGCCUCUGCACUAAAUAGUGCUACUGAUUCGUGCCCGAUUGGUGUUCCAAUUGAUUCAACUCAAUUGAUGUGCUUUGAUCUCAAUCCUCAAACGGGAGUAAUCAACAAAAUUUAUAAACCUAUUUCACCAUAUACUGGGGUAGCAUUUAGCUAGCAUAGUAUAGUGGCUCUAGGAUCGUCCACAGAGAUGGGUUUUUACAUCGCAAUUGAUAUUAGUUCAAAAAUUGAAUUGGUACUUUUUCUUUUCUUUGUUAGCUUUAAAAGAAGACAUAAGUUUGAAUGAAAACGGAUGGUAUUAAGCUAACCUAACAUAAAGUAACUGAUUUUACUUACAAAGAAAAGUGUUUCUUGGAGUUUUAGAUCACUAGGCUCAGAUUCCUCAUACAAAAAGGGAGUUCCGGUCACUUGCUUCUUUUCCUCGCAUUAGAGAAUUAACAUAUAGUUAAUUCUCUAACCGGUGUGGUACAGAUGCUUCCCAUUAAUGGGUUCAAACACUAAAUUUCUCUCACUGAUGCACCUUGCAAUGGGCUCAUACCUCUCACCAAGCACUUUCCAUUCAAGGUGAUCUUUAACCUUGGAUUACCCGUCAAAAGCGAACAAGAGAUAACAAUUAGACCUCCAUGGAGCAAGAUUGCAAGCAAUAAGAAUCCAUGGAAUUCGAAAGCUUACCAAAUAUUGGCUAUUCUAGAAAAUCCUACCUUCAAACCACCUACCAAAAGCUCGCAAGAGAUAAACUAGUGCAUCUCUAUGGACGGAGAUCACUUGCCUUACCAAGUGUUAGCUCAGGUGAAUUGAAGGCGUUUUAAGUUAACUAAAAAGAUAAAAACCAUUAACAGGUCACACUUUCUCUUCAUUAAAAACUAAAACAACAAAACUUCCAAUUUAUGCAUGUGGAAACUUACCCGGCUUUCCUCACUCCAAGAGACGAAGAGCCUAGCCUCUCAUCCUCUGAGGAAAAAUCCUCAGAGUUUGGUUGGCUAGAAAGAAAAAGAAAAUGAAAAUGAAAGAGAAGGAAAAACAAAGCAAAGCUCUGUAUAUUCUAUAUACUUAUAUAUCUAUAUCUUUUACAAUGGAUGCAAGGGAAUAUAUAUAGAGAAGUUUUUCCAACCUUCCUAUCUAAGAAAUCUUAUGGUUGGUGGAUUACAAGGAGAAGAAUGGAAAUUUAUACAAAAAUAUCUUAAGAAAAGAUCUAAAAGAGUUGGUGCACAAAUAUCCCAGUUCGCAUGUAGAUUUCGCACGUUGCAUGGUGACUUGCGAAAAUCUCGCAAGUUGAUUUCGCAACUUGGAAUCCAUUUUCGCACGUUGAGCUCCAAGUUCGCAAGUUGCAAAAUCACUUUCGCAAGUUGGGUUUCUCUGUGACUGUGCGGCUGUAUUCCAUUUCCAUUUCGCAAGGUAGGCUUUAAUUUCGCACGUUGGAGUUCCAAAUUCGCAGAUGCGAAUUGUCCUUCAACUGGGUGUAUUUGUCUUGNNNNNNNNNNNNNNNNNNNNNNNNNNNNNNNNNNNNNNNNNNNNNNNNNNNNNNNNNNNNNNNNNNNNNNNNNNNNNNNNNNNNNNNNNNNNNNNNNNNNUAAAAACCAUUAACAGGUCACACUUUCUCUUCAUUAAAAACUAAAACAACAAAACUUCCAAUUUAUGCAUGUGGAAACUUACCCGGCUUUCCUCACUCCAAGAGACGAAGAGCCUAGCCUCUCAUCCUCUGAGGAAAAAUCCUCAGAGUUUGGUUGGCUAGAAAGAAAAAGAAAAUGAAAAUGAAAGAGAAGGAAAAACAAAGCAAAGCUCUGUAUAUUCUAUAUACUUAUAUAUCUAUAUCUUUUACAAUGGAUGCAAGGGAAUAUAUAUAGAGAAGUUUUUCCAACCUUCCUAUCUAAGAAAUCUUAUGGUUGGUGGAUUACAAGGAGAAGAAUGGAAAUUUAUACAAAAAUAUCUUAAGAAAAGAUCUAAAAGAGUUGGUGCACAAAUAUCCCAGUUCGCAUGUAGAUUUCGCACGUUGCAUGGUGACUUGCGAAAAUCUCGCAAGUUGAUUUCGCAACUUGGAAUCCAUUUUCGCACGUUGAGCUCCAAGUUCGCAAGUUGCAAAAUCACUUUCGCAAGUUGGGUUUCUCUGUGACUGUGCGGCUGUAUUCCAUUUCCAUUUCGCAAGGUAGGCUUUAAUUUCGCACGUUGGAGUUCCAAAUUCGCAAGAUGCGAAUUUGUCCUUCAACUGGGUGUAUUUGUCUUGUGAAAGCCAUAUCUUCCUCAUUUCAGCUCCAAUUCGUACACUGUUUGAAGCGUUGGAUUCUUGACUUCCUGAGCUUUGAAAUGGUAUAUAGCAUGUAGAAAAUGGACUUCGGGAAGUGCUCCAAAAGUGUGAAAGAAGACUGAAGCUGCUGUCCUCUAUUUUCUUCACUCUAUUUUUCCUCUCUCCGUUGUUCUUUCCUUGCAUACUUUGAACGAAUUUGGCAAAGGGCUAUGGAGCUCCAAAGCUUGGUUCUUCAUGAAUUUGAGCUUCCAAAAGCUUUGCCAUGAACUAUAUACAGCUCUCCCUCAUUCUUGGAUUGCUUUGGUGUAGCUAAAAGCUAUCAAAAACACCAAAACUUAACACAAUUUGCUUAGAAACGAUUGCAAGGGUCCUUAACAUGUCAAUUGAGUUAAAAGGUAAUAAUUACUACUCAAGAGUGUUUAAAAGAGUUAAUUACAAGCUACAAAAUAGCACUUUUUGAGUAGUAAUCAGCUACUACUUUAUGUUUUUUUUACUUCGACAUGUUUUCAAGUUUCUCCAACAAAUGUGAGGUAACCUGAUGUGGAUUUCCUAUCGGAGAUAUUUCUUGCCCAAUCAACGUCGAUAUACCCUAUAAUUUCCAGGUACCCAUUCUUUGAGAACAUAAUUCUCUUCCCUAGGGUUCCCUUAAGGUAUCUUAAAAUUUGAGUCACUACAUUCAUAUGAUCUUCACUAGGGCAAUGCAUGAACUGAUUCACUACACUGACCGCAUAGACAAUAUCAGGUCGGGUAUGUGAAAGAUAAAUUAGUUUUCCAACCAAUCUCUGAUAUUUGCCUUUAUCAGUGGGAAUCUGGUCAGGGUAUUCUCCAAGCCUAUGAUUCUAUUGUAUUGGAACAACUGUCAGUUUACAGUCUAGCAAUCCAACUUUUGAUAAUAGAUCGAGAGUAUACUUUCGUUGGGAAAGAAAGAUACCUCGUUUAGAUUGAGCCACCCGAAUUCCUAGAAAAUAUUUCAACCAACCCAAACUCUUUAUUUCAAACUUUGCUGCCAACUGUUUUUUAAGUUUCGCAACUUCCUCGGUAUCAUUACAUGUGAUGAUCAUAUCAUCUACAUACACUAUUAGUGUUGUUACCUUGCCUUGUCGACGCUUUAGAAAUAGAGUGUGGUCAUAAUUGCUUUGUUGAAACCCAUACUUUCUCAUUGCUAGGUUGAGGCGUCCAAACCAAGCUUGUGGAGACUAUUUCAAGCCGUACAGGGUGGGCCACAGUUUACACACUGUCUUGCCAGACGUUUCAAUGUACCCAUGGGGAUAUCCAUAUAAAUUUCUUCUUCGAGGUCACUAUGGAGGAACACAUUCUUUACAUCAAAUUGGAGUAGCGACCAAUCAAGAUUCACUACAAUAAAUAGAAGGACUCUUAUAGUGUUCAACUUGGCUACAAGUGAAAAGGUCUCCAUAUAGUCAACUCCAUAAGUCUACGUAUAUUAUUUCGCUACAAGCCUCACUUUUUAGCACUCAAUUGACCCAUCCACCUUGUAUUUGAUGGAGAAUACCCAUUUGCACCCCACUAUCUUGUGGCAUUCUAGUAAAGAGACAAGAAUCCACGUCUUGUUUUUCAACAAUGCUUCCAUUUCUUCCUUUAUUGGUUGGACCCACCUAGGGUCUUGUAGAGCCUCCUCUAUGCUUGUUUGAAUGUGAUGCGCUGAUAAUGCAUUAGAAAAGCUCUUUAAGGGUUCUGAGAGCUUCUUUGUUGAGACGUAAUUGGCAAUUGGGUACUUUGAUUUGUGUGUCUCAAUAUUUGGAGAAUAGCAUUUUGGUAGUUUGCCAUGAUUGUGCUUGGGAGGUAACUAAUAACCAUCGUCAGUUAAAUGUUUUGUGGCAAGAGGAAAACUUACCUUAGGAACCUCUUCAGGAAUAUUCUCAGAAGUUGGGUCAUGAGGUACUUUAGAAUGAGGGGGUGUCUCAGGAAUUGGAGUUGGUGUCUCAGUAGUCAGCAUUGGUGGCUCUGUAGCUAUUCCAUAUCCAUGGUAAUUGGUGGCUCUGUAAUCAGUGGGAUGUCUGGGAUGUCUUUGAACCAAUUCAACUCUUCAUCGUGUGUCUUCCCCUUAAGAGAAGAAUUGGAUGGAUGAUAGAACAUCUCAGACUCGAGGAAUGUGACAUCCAUAGUAACAUAGAGCCGCAUGUUUGUUGGAUCAUAGCACCAGUAACCUUUUUUAUUGGUGGCAUAGCCUAGAAAGAGACAACGACAAGCACAAGGAUCGAGUUUAGUGCGCUGGUUGCAGUGAAGAUGAACAUAGACAACGCAUCCAAAGGUUCGGGGAAGAAGCGUCGUAGUCGAAAGUACUGAUAUACUCGAGGCUAAGGCCUAUAGAGGUGUUUUGAAAUCCAGAAUUUGGAAUGUCAUUCGAUUAAUGAGAUGCACAAUAAUUGUAACCGCAUUAGGCCAGUAAGGACUAGGUACAUGCGCACUUAAUAGGAGGACACGUGUGGUCUCGAGAAUAUGGCGAUUCUUACGUUCUACUACACCGUUUUGCUCUGGAGUAUGAGGACACGAGGUUUGAUGUAUCAACCCAUGUUGGUGGAAGUACUUCUGGAAUUGUCGAUUGAUGUAUUCAGUGCCAUUAUCAAAGGGAAAAACUCUGAGUUUGGCAGAAAAUUGGGUUUGAGUCAUUGUGUGAAAAGAGUAGAAGACAGUAAAAACCUCAUCUUUGUUUGUCAGUAGGUAGAGCCACAUCAUUCAAGUGCAAUCAUCAACAAAGAGAACAAAUCAGCGAUAACCCGAUAGAGUAGAUUUUAGGGAUGGUCCCCACACAUCAGAAUGAAUUAAGCUAAAAGGUACAUCACUCUUAUUCUUAUGUAAAUGAUAAAUUAUCCGGUGACUUUUGGCCAAAAUACAAGUUUCACAUUGAAAAUCUGAGAUAGAGAAAUCAGAAAAUAAACUAGGUAGUAAAUGCUUCAAAUAUCCAAAUGACGGAUGGUUGAGUCGUCGAUGCCAAAGUCAGAUCUGUUCUAUUCUAGAAUCACCCGACUAUCCCACAUGAUGAGUUUGUCCCAUUUUUAACAGAGCCAUGUUAAAAAUCUCUUAUCUUUCUUUAUUUUCAUGUGUUUGGUUUGGUUAAUGCAGGAGAUCUCCAUCCAAUCUGCAUUUCGCUUAACCAUCCGACAUCAGAAAAUGGAUACAAACUAGAAGUACUUUGCCCUUCCCUACUAUGCAGCCGCUUGUCACCAAAAAUGGCAAGUCCUGGUUGAACUCCAGAAGUCUGCUCAUGGGUGAAAUUCAUCUACAUCCCCAAAAAAUCUCCACCAUACCACUUUCUUGGAAAAUUUGGUUGGAAUCCUGGCAAACACUUGCACAAAAUCCGAUUUCUACUAUUUCAACUGGCAAAACUCUCACUGGGAUUAUUCCCACUGCACCUAUCUUUUGGUUUCUGGAAAAGCGAAUACCAAGAGGCCGUCUCAUUACGGAACUGUAAAUGUUGUAUUUUGCCGAAAAAUUUCAUCACCAACCUCCUAUAAUAAAGAGAGGUUGUAUCUUGAAAGUCAUAAUCAUAUCCUCCAAGUGAGCUUUUUCUUUUAUCAUCACUGAUAAUGGUAGAUCAAAACCAAACUAGAGCACUGAUGAAAAGAUUGAAAUUGCAUUGGGUUCUUUUAAGAUUGAAGAAGAGAACAGUGGAAAAGGCAUUAUGGGUAAAAGAAUUGUCAAACUUGCAAGAUUUGUUUCUAUUUCUUUUGGUCAUUGGUCAAGUAGUCAUUACUUUUUUAUUUUUUAUUUUAUUUUUAUUUUUUAAAAUCAACUCUUGAUUCAAUGAUUUCACAAUGCAUGUAUCAAUUGGAUGAUGAUUCUUGAAUUAGAAAUUUCCUUCCACACAAUAUGAUUAUAAAUAAAUACACAAGAAAAAUGAGCAACAGUACUACCAAAGAAUCAAACAGUUUUAGGUCUACUUCGUCUUGCGGCCUUAAGGCAAAAAUAUAGAAAAUAAGAUGGGAAGUUAGUGAUUUACAAUUGGUGUAGAGAACAAUCGAAUAGAUAUUCAUGAAAUCAAUUUACACUAAAACACACCUGUGAUUAUGUCCUAAGAAAUCCAAUUCUGAUGCAACAUAUAUGAAGUUGAUAACACCAACAAACAAGACUGAACUUAUGGCUGAUUCUCCCUAACUAUCUACCUUCUUCUAAGCUGACAGUUAUCUCAUUGUUGGAGCAUGUUUUCGGAUUGGUGGAAGAGGAAGGAGCUAAGCUGGGCGGCCCUCUUCUCACAACAAAGGCUGGUUGCUAGGGUAUUGGAAGUGUGGCUAUCUCACUAUUGAGCAUGAGAAAUGCAUUGGGCAAGGUGGGGCGAUCACUUGGGUCUUCUUGUACACACAACAACCCAACAUUUACACACCUCAAGAAUUCAUUAGUGUUGCAUGUUUCACUUAGUGUCUGGUCCAUCAAAUCAUACACCUUGUCUUCUUUCCACAAUCUCCAUGCUUGGAACAAUUCUCUUGAUAUUAAAAUUAGAUUUGCUAAAGUAAAAUGAUAGGUUGGGCAAUCAUAUCAAUUUGAUAUAUAAUAUAAAGAUUUUUUUUCUAGGGGAGGUCAUCAAUUCAAACCUCAUUGUUUGUUUAUUUUCUUUAUUUACUAAGCUUACAUGCAAAUCUAAAGAAGGCCACUUGUGAGAUAAUGUUGAAUGACAUGUCCUAGGAGCUGCUGACAUGGAGCUAAGUAGAAUGAAGUGGAAGUAGUUAAAAUAAGUUAGUCAUGUGGAAGAUUUACCUAUUCCUUAGGAAGUAUUUGUUGGUUUGUUUUUAUUCUUUAGGAAGUAUCUAUAGGUAGCAUGUUUGUUGCUAUUUUUAUGUUUUUCUGUUUUAAGCUAGCUGUAUAAAUAAGUGCUUUGAAGCUUAAUAAAAUAUAACUUCAGAUUCCUCAACAUUAUGUUGCUUCUUGAGAGUUUCUACCCUUUGUUUUUAUCAAAACCUACAAAUUGGUAUCAGAGUUGUUGUUAUUGAGUAACCUGUGAGGUGAGUGAGCCUAUACACCACCAUCUACCCUAUCCAAAACAAUAUCCAUGUUGUUCUUGAGUAACCUGUGAGGUGAGUGAGCCUAUACACCACCAUCUACCCUAUCCAAAACAAUAUCCAGAAUGACCUCAGAAGCUUCACUGAAUGCAUUGGCACCUCCAGUGUUUGAUGGAAUAAAUUAUCAACUGUGGGUUGUCUGUAUGGAAGCCUACCUUGAUGCUAGUGAUCUGUGGGAAGCUGUUAGUGAGGAAUAUGAAGUUCCUCCCCUGUCCGACAAUCCAACUAUGGCUCAGAUAAAACUACACAAUGAGAGGAGGCAAAGGAAAUCAAAGGCAAAAGCUAGUCUAUUUGUAGCUGUCUCAUCUACAAUUUUCACCAGAAUCAUGGCAUUGAAGACGAAAAAUGAAAUAUGGAACUUCCUGAAGAAGGAAUAUGAAGGAAAUGAAUGAGUCAAAGGUAUGCAAGUGCUGAACCUGAUUAGAGAGUUUGAGAUGCAAAGGAUGAAAGAAUCAGAAACAAUCAAGGAUUACUUAGACAGACUUCUUAGUAUUGUUAACAAAGUAAGACUUCUUGGUACUGACUUUUCUGAUUCUAGAAUAGUUCAAAAAAAUUUUAUAACAGUUCCUGAAAAGUUUGAGACUACAAUAUCAUCUCUAGAAAACUCAAAAGAUGUGUCAAGUAUCACCUUGGCAGAGCUGUUGAAUGCAUUACAGGCUCAAGAACAAAGGAGGCUUAUGAGACAAGAAGAAUAUGUGGAGGGUGCAUUUCAGGCCAUAUCUCAGUACAAGAAAGAAAUGCAAAGCAACAAUAACAGCAGCAACAACACUCAAAAGUUUCCACCAUGUCCUUACUGUAAAAAAUCCAAUCAUCCACAAAAAAAGUGUUGGUGGAGGUUGGAUGUAAAAUGUCACAAGUGUGGUCAGCUAGGGCAUGUGGAAAGAAUAUGCAAAUCUCAACAGCAGCUAGGAGAAGUCAAGGCUGCUGUGGAAGAACUUCAAGAUGAGCAACUGUUUGUGGUAUCAUGCUUUUUCACUAGCAGCUCCCUAGAAACUUGGCUUAUAGACAGUGGUUGUACAAACCAUAUGACUUAUGAUCAAGGGCUCUUUAAGGAACUUGACAAAACUGUUACUUCCAAAGUUAGAGUUGGAAAUGGAGCAUAUCUUGCAGUAAAAGGCAAAGGCACCAUGGCAAUUGAAGGCCACACAGGUUUGAAAUUAAUCUCUAAUGUCUUAUAUGUUCCUGAGAUUAAUCAAAAUUUGCUGAGUGUUGGUCAGCUGUUGGAAAAAGGCUAUAAGGUGUUGUUUGAGGACAAUCAUUGCAUGAUUGCUAAUGGACAAGGCAGAGAGGUAUUUAUAAUCCAAAUGAAAGACAAAAGCUUUGCCUUGGAUUUGAUGCAAGAAGAGCAAGUUGAAAUUCACAAAGAAAAAACAAUACAAUGCUUUGGCAUAGGCGUUUGGGGCACUUUCAUCAUACCGCCCUGCUCUUUAUGAAGAAGAAGGAUCUUGGAAAAGGCUUGCCUGAAUUAGAGGUGAAGCCUCCUACUUGUGUAGCUUAUCAAUACGGGAAACAAACAAGACUUCCUUUCCCACAAAACAAGGCCUAGAGAGCUACUCAGAAAUUGCAGUUAGUACACACUGAUGUGGAAGGACCUCAAAUAACACCAUCACUAAAUGGCAGUAAGUUCUAUAUUGCUUUCAUUGAUGAUCACACAAGAAUGUGCUGAAUUUAUUUCAUGAAAUUUAAAUAUGAAGUUGCUAACAUCUUUUGGAAGUUUAAAGCUUGGGAUGAAAAUCAAAGUAAAUGUAAAAUGCAAGUGAUCAGGUCUGAUAAUGGAACUGAAUACACCUCGGAGAAAUUUAACAAAUUUUGUGAAGAUGCAGGCAUUGAGCACCAGCUUACAACACCUUAUACCCCUCAACAGAAUGGAGUCGUUGAGAGGAAAAAUAGAACACUUAUGGAAAUGACAAGGUGUUUGCUGCAUGACAAAUGGCUGCCAAAGAAAUUCUGGGCUGAGGCUGCACAUACAUCAAUCUUUCUGCUGAAUAGACUGCCAACAAAAGCUUUGCAACAAAAUACUCCAUUUGAAGCAUGGUAUGGCUAUAAACCAAGGCUACAAAAUUUAAAAACAUUUAGUUGUCUUUGUUUCUCUUAUAUUCCACAUGUUAAGAGAGACAAAUUGGAUAAAAAAGCUGAAGUUGGGAUCUUUAUAGGCUAUAGCUCAAUAUCAAAGGCCUAUAGAAUCUACCUUCCAGAAAAUAACAAAGUGAUAGUUAGCAAAGAUGUCAAAUUCUUUGAAUCAGAAAGUUGGAGUUGGGAGAAUGAUAAGAAGCUUGAGUUUAAAGAGAAUCUUGAGUUCCAAAAGGACCUUGAGUUUCAGGAGGAGCAUGACAAUAUUGAUGAUGAACCUAUCAGGGGAACCAAAUCACUCUCUAACAUCUAUCAGAGGUGCAAUGUUGCUAUAAUAGAGCCUGCAGGGUAUGAAGAAGCUACAACUGAUAAAAAAUGGAUGGCUACAAUGAAGGAGGAGCUUAAAAUGAUUUUGAUGGACAAACCGACACACAAAAGGGCAAUUGGAGUCAAGUGGGUUUAUAGAACCAAACUCAAUUCCGAUGGUUCUAUAAACAAACAUAAGGCAAGACUAGUUGUCAAAGGAUAUGCUCAGAUGUUUGGGGUGGAUUUCUCUUAGACUUUUGCCCCAGUUGCUAGAUUGGACACUAUAAGAAUGUUGUUGGCUCUUGCUGCUCAAAAAGGCUGGAAUAUACAUCAGAUGGAUGUCAAAUCAGCCUUCUUGAAUGGAUACUUGGAGGAAGAAAUUUUUGUGGAGCAGCCUGAAGGUUUUAUUGUUCAAGGAAUGGAGGAGAAAGUAUAUUUGCUGAAAAAGGCCUUGUAUGGUUUAAAACAAGCACCAAGGGACUGGUACAGUAGGAUUGAUUCACAUUUGUUAGGCUUAGGCUUUACAAAAAGCCUAAGUGAAUUUACUCUAUACUUCAGGAAGGUUUGUGAUGAAACACUUGUGGUAUCCUUAUACAUUGAUGAUCUACUUGUGACAGGAAGCAGUAUGGAGCAAAUUGUUAAUUUCAAAAAGGAAAUGAAUGAUGUUUUUGAGAUGACUGAUCUUGGAAGGAUGACAUUCUUUCUUGGCAUGGAGGUACAACAAAAAUAGAAUGAGAUCUUCAUAUGUCAACAAAAAUAUGCCAAGGAAAUCCUGAAAAAGUUCAAGAUGGAAGAGUGCAAUCCAAGUGCAACUCCAAUGAAUCAAAAUGAGAAGUUUUGCAAAAAAGAUGGAGCUGCAAAAGCUGAUGAAAGGCUUUACAAGACCAUUAUUGGGCGCUUGAUGUACCUAACAGCAACUAGACCAGAUAUUAUGAAUGCAGUAAGUUUACUCUCAAGGUACAUGCAUUGUGCUAGUGAAAUUCACUUUCAAGCAGCAAAAAGAAUUGUUAGAUAUGUCAAGGGUACAAUUGACUAUGGUUUGAGGUUUUGUCAAGUUAAAAACUUUACUCUUCAUGGUUAUUCAGAUAGUGAUUGGGCAGGUUGUGUUGAUGACAUGAGAAGUACUUUAGGUUAUUGUUUCAGCUUUGGUUCUGCUAUUUUUGCAUGGUGUUCCAAAAAGCAAGAAGUCAUAGCCCAAUCCACAGCAGAAGCAGAAUAUGUAGCUACUGCUGCUGCUAUGAAUCAGGCUUUCUGGAUCAGGAAAUUGAUGGCUGACUUGUUUAUGGAGCAAAAGAAAAGCACACAAAUACUCGUAGACAACCAAGCUGCAAUUUCAAUUGCAAAUAAUCCGGUGUUCCAUGGCAAAACAAAACAUUUCAAGCUAAAACUCUAUUUACUAAGAGAGGUACAGAAAGAGGGAGAAAUACAGUUGGUCUACUACAAAACAGAAAGUCAAAAUGUUGAUAUCUUAACCAAACUACUUCUCAAAGCUAGAUAUGAGUUCUUGAGGCAAAGACUUGGAGUCUGCAGCUCCAGAGACAAGGAGGAGUGUUGAAUGACAUGUCCUAGGAGCUGCUGACAUGGAGCUGAGUAGAAUGAAGUGGAAGUAGUCAAAAUAAGUUAGUCAUGUGGAAAAUUUACCUAUUCCUUAGGAAGUAUUUGUUGGUUUGUUUCUAUUCUUUAGGAAGUAUCUAUAGGUAGCAAGUUUGUUGCUAUUUUUAUGUUUUUCUGUUUUAAGCUAGCUGUAUAAAUAAGUGCUUUGCAGCUUAAUAAAAUAUAACUUCAGAUUCCUCAACGUUUUGUUGCUUCUUGAGAGUUUCUACCCUUUGUUUCUAUCAAAACCUACAGAUAAGGUAUUGGCCCACCAUCACAUGAUAGUUUAAGCUUUGGGUUGAAUUGAUAAUUUAACAAAGAAUGACUAAAAGAUAAAUCAUCAUGAGAUAUUCAAGCCACUUACAUAACCUAAAAGGCUCAUAGCUUGGUCAGAUUGAUAAAAUCCUGUGUUCCUCUUCCCACUGAUGAUCUCAAGUACAAUAACACCAAAGCAAAAAACAUCAGAUUUUACUAAGAAAAACCCAUCUAGCACAUAUUCUGGAGACAUAUAGCCACUGCAUUACAUGGAAUGUUAAAAAGUAAUCAGUUGAUUAGGUAUAUGCCAAGGCAAAUAUCUUUCCCCAUGCAUACAAUACUUACUAAGUGCCCACUACUUUGUUUGUGUUUGCCUCUGUUUGCUUGCUCUCAAAGAUCCUGGCCAAGCUGAAGUCUGAAAUUUUGGGAUUCAUAUCCCCAUCUAAUAGAAUGUUGCUCGUCUUCAAGUCCCUGUGAAUGAUCUUCAACCUUGAAUCUUGGUGAAGAUAAAUUAGCCCUCGAGCAAUUCCCAAAAUGAUGUCGAAGCGACUCUCCCAGUUUAGUAACACGCAUAGCAUUCGAUCUUGCCCAGUUGCCAUUAGAAAGAAAAAUUUUAGUGGCAUGGUUCAUUCAGUUAGAUCCUGUCUAUCAGUUCAUGGCACGUAUGCAAUGAUACAACAAAAGUAGGGACUUGACGUAGGUUUAGAGGCAAACCAAAUAUGAAAGAGUCUAAGCUUUUGUUGGGCAUAUAUUCAUAAAGUAAAAUCUUCUCAUCUCCUUCAAUACAAUAGCCCAGAAGUCUAACCAGAUUUCGAUGCUGAAGUUUGGCAAUCAACACAACCUCAUUCUUAAAUUCCACUAGGCUUUGCCUUGAAGCACUUGAGAGUCUCUUCACAGCUGCUUCUUUCCCAUCUGGAAAUUUGCCCUAGAAGCCACAAUGCAUAUGCAUUAGACAUUGAUAAUCAGAAAUCAGUUGAAAAUAUGAGCAUUGUUUGAAAUAAGUUAUAUUACCUUGUAAACCGGCCCAAAGCCCCCUUGUCCAAGCUUAUGCGAAUCUAAAAAGUUAUCCGUAGCAGCCAGGAUGUCUUUUAAGUCGAAAAAUGGUACAUCAAUGCCUUUCUUAUCCUCAUCUUUGAAUUCCUUCAAGUCUAUUAAGUGUUUCACACGACUUUCACUAUCAUACAAGUGCAGCACAGGAUUUGCCCUGUUUCCUGAAUUAAAAAAAAAAGAAAAUAUUAUAUAGAAAACCUCUGCAAUUUUCUCAAUUUUGCCAGGUACAAUUUGAAAAGAAAAUAGCGGAAGAUCCAUGGUAGAGCUUAUGGCACAAAGAUUACCUUUCCUUUUGGUGAUGUUUCUUUUGCGCAAAUAAGCAAUAUAACCAAUGGUGCUUAAAAGCGCAACUAGAACAACAACAAUUGUUAUGCCUACCACAACUACCGGAGAUGAUAAUGACGACAUCUUAUUGCCAAGGUCUAAAACAAAGAAGAACCACUCUCAUUCAUGGAAAAGGCAAUGCAUCUAUCAUUACUAACCUCUAUGUCUUUCAUUGGAAAAUAAGUUUAAAUGACCAAAACCAAGCAAAAAGAAAGUAUUGAGUUCAACUUCUCACAUACCUAGAAAGCAAAUUUAGAAAUAUACUAGGUCUGUAGCUCACCUUGUGUAAAAUCUAAACUUGAUCCAUUUCACUUAAAUUUUUCACUGCAAAAGCACUUAGUGGUUCCAUUUUGUGUUCUGCAAUUUGAAUUAGGCCAAUCCUUGCAGUCUGCUGAUGAGGUACACACUAGCUCCAAUGGUGGAUCCCAACUGAUCUCUAUCUCAAUGCUAUUUUCCAAUGACUUCUCAGAGCCAAAAUUGUCGAUUUUGACCACUGUGCAGACAUUGGUCAUGUGAAAAGGCAGGUUUAGUGGUGGAAUUUUGUUGAUAAGACUUCGAGAACUGCAAUCUAAUUCUUUAAGUUAGAUUACAAAUGUUAAUGUCUCUAGAUUAAUGCUAGUUACCCGAUAGGUGCCACCAAGUACCUUGAACUGAACCUGGCCCGUGGUAAUGUUGCAUUCAAAAUUAAAGUACAUGGGAUCACCACACUUUGAUCCAGUGCUUAGAGGAUAAGGAAUCAUGAUUGAGCCACAAGCUUGACAAUUUCUUAUUGUUGAUUCUGCAAAUAAAAUGUAGAAUCCCUUGUUAAAGGGUAUUUCUUCCGAUUACAGUUUCUUCCUAAUGUCUAUAAAUGGAUUUAUGCUUGUGUUGAUCAAUAAACUAAAACAUGAGGUACUUCUUCUCAAGAAAAGGGGAAAAAGAAAUUGGAAAGGGACAUACCUAUAUCUGAAAUAGAUACACGAACAAAGAGAUUGUCAGCAUCAGAGUCAUACUCCUCCUGAAGACCACUAAGGUCGUCUGUCCAAAUCAAGCAUUCUGGGUUAUUGCCCCUUUAUGUUAUUUAGUUUGAGCAUAAUGUCACGGACUUAGUCGUUCACUAAGCUCUUGUGGCACUUAGGCAAGUCAAGACGCUUGAUCUUGCUAAGUCAGCCUUGCUCCCAAUGCUUAGCUUGCUAGGCUAAGACACUCACGACUCGAAAGCUUAAGAAGCUUAGUAAGCAACUCUUUAAAGGAAGCUCUUAUUAACUCAUGGAAGCCUUUACAAGUGCUUGGAAGCUCACUUGCUUGGUACCUUGGCCAAAUGAGGCCUUCACCUAUUUAUAGGCACCAAUGGAACUCUCUGGAACCUUGGAGGGUUCCUUACAACUUAAGUAUAUUCUAGAAUGUCCUACAUCAUUCUAGGUACAAGCCUAUGUACAAGGAUAUACAAGAGACUUCUGGAAUUCUCUAGAAAGCCCUGGACUCCUCUCAUGCCUUCCACCAUAGUGUAGAAUUGUGUGGAUUCCUCCAGGCUUCUCCACAACCUUCCACACUCUUCCCACUCUAGGAGUCUCCAGAAGCUUCCUGGCUCUAUAUAAGCCCAUGGGGAGGCUCAUUUGAAUCAGCUUGUGACACUCUCCUCCACCUAAGCCGCAGACGUUCUUGUCGCGCCUUCUGCCCGGAAUUGCUCAAUUUGCUCCUAUAACUGCCAUAGUGCAUCUGUUGGCUCCCAGCUAGCCUCACUUUUUGGUAGUCCUUUCCAUUUCACUAAGUAUUCCGUACCAGGAGGUACACCUCGUCUCCUGAUGACCCGAUCUACGAGAAAGUGUUCUAUCUCCUUAUCAUAGGAGAUCACGACCGUUGUAGGUGCCCUCUUAGACAACCCUCGGCUUGGAUCAUCUUUGUCUUCGUGAUAGGGUUUCAAGUAGUUUACGUGGAAGACAUGAUGAAUCUUCAACCUUGGCGGUAGCUUAACUCUAUAGGACACCUUGUCGACAUUCCCAAGUACGGGGAAGGGUCCUUCAUACCUCCUCAUAAGGCCCUUAUGCACUAACCUUAGGGAUUUGAAUUGUUGAGAAAUGAGCUUGAAAGCACCAUGUCUCCGACUUUGUACUCCGUGUGUCGUCGCUUCUUGUCAGCCCACUUCUUCAUUUUCUUAGCGGCCUUGUCCAAGUAUGAGCGUGAUAUGUCAGCUUGCUCGUGCCACCCUUUCGCGAACUUGAAAGCUGCUGGACUUCUCCCCGUAUAGCCUAUCGUUAGAGUGUGAGGAGUUAACGGUUGCUGCCUUGUGGCCAACUCGAAUGGGCUCUUAUUGGUUGCCUCACUCCUUUGCAGGUUAUACGAGAAUUGGGCUAUGUCUAGCAACUUAGCCCAAUCCUUCUGGUUGGCACUCAUGAAGUGCCUUAAGUAUAGCUCCAAUAAAGCGUUCACCCUCUCAGUCUGCCCAUCCGUCUGUGGGUGAAAGCUUGUGGAGAAGUGAAGCUCCGAACCCAUAAGCUUGAAGAGCUUCAUCCAAAACUUCCUAGUAAAACGCGGAUUGCAAUCACUUUAGGCAACCCCCAAUACUUGACUACGUGCUUUAGGAAUAGCCUCGUCGUCUCUUCCGCAGUGCGGUCAGUCGGGGCUGCUAUGAAGGUUGCAUAGUUAGAGAACCUGUCCACUACCACUAUGAUAGAACCGUUGUCCUCCGACUUGGGUAGCCCGAUGAUGAAGUCCAUGGUGACGUUGUCACAUGGGCGCUCUGCUAUAGGUAGUGGCUUCAACAGGCCUCUAGGUUGUUAUUGUUCCACCUUGUCUUGUUGGCACACAAGACAAGUCCUCACAUAGGCCUCUACCUCAUCCCGUAUUUGAGUCCAAUAAUAAGCCGACUCGAGUAGUGCCCUCGUGCGUCGUUGCCCAGGGUACCCAGCCCACUUGGUGUCAUGGCACUCAUUUAUCAGAUUCCGUCUUAUGUUCCCCCAUUUAGGCACAUAGAGUCGUCUCCCCUUAGUGUAGAGUAGGUCGUUCUCCACCCAGAACCGCUUAGUCUUCCCUUCAUGAGCUAGGACGAUGAGGCUCUUAGCCACUGGAUCAUGUUGCAGUCCCUCCCUUAGAAGAUCCAUUAUGUCUCCUUGGGGCUGACUCGUCAUGGAUGCUAGCUCCGUUUUACUGCUUAGGGCGUCAGCCACAUGAUUAGCACUCCCUGGCUUAUACUCCAACGUAUAGUCGAACUCAGCCAGGAAGUCUUGCCACCUAGCUUGCUUAGGACUCAACUUCUUCUGUGUUUGGAAGUAGCUAGUGGCAACGUUAUCGAUCUUCACUAUGAAGUGAGACCCUAGAAGAUAGUGCCUCCAGGUGCGCAAGCAGUGGACGAUGGCGGUCAUCUCUUUUUCUUGCACCGUAUAGCGCAUCUCUGUGUCGUUUAGCUUGCGACUCUCAAAUGCGAUCGGGUGUCUUUCUUGCAUAAGGACUCCCCCAAUAGUGAAGUGUGAGGCAUCUGUGUGUAUCUCAAAAACCUUGGUGUGGUCGGGUAGUGCUAACACCGACUCCUCAGUCACAGCCUUCUUAAGAUCUUUAAAGGCUUGUUGGCACCUUUCGUCCCAUUCUCAUGCCUUAUUCUUCUUAAGGAGAUCAGUGAGAGGAGCGGCCCUUGCUAAAUAACCUUUGAUGAAUCGCCGAUAGUAAUUAACUAAACCAAGGAAAUAUCUGAGCUAAGGUACCUUGGUUGGUGGAUCCCAUUCCUGGAUGGCUUUCACCUUGCUAUCAUCCAUCUUCAGCUUGCCAUCCUUGAUGCGAUGCCCUAGGAAGCUCACUUCUUUUUUAACAAAGGAGCAUUUUUCCUUCUUCACGUAUAGCUCGUUCUGCCUUAAGAUCUUAAAGACCUUCCUCAAGUGCUUUACGUGCUUCUUUAGGGUGUUACUGUAGAUGACUAUGUCAUCCAAGUAUACCACCACGAACUUGUUGAUUACUACUCAAAAAGUGCUAUUUGAUAGCUUAUAAUUAAUCCUUUUAAACACUUUUGAGUAGUAAUUUUGGCAUUUUAACUCAAUUGGCAUGUUAAGGACCCUUGAAAGCAAUUUUAAUCAUUUUGUGUAAGUUUUGGUGUUUUUUGUUAGUAAUUUGAUCACCAAAGCAAUUCAAGAUUGAGGAGAUUUAUGAGGAAUCUUGGGCAAAGCUUGGAAGUCAUUUGCCAAGAGUAAAUCAGGAAUGCAAGGAGAAAAAGUUAAGAGAAUCUGCCAUGAAGCAUAUUCUUGAUGAUAGUAGUAGCAGCCACUUUUGGAGCACUUUUUGAAGUCCAAUUGAUGCAUGCUAUAUACCAUUUCAAAGCUCAGGAAGUCAACAAUCCAAUGCUUCAAACGGUACGCAAUUCGGAGUUGAAACGAAGAAGUUGCAGCCAUUGCAAGCCAAUCACUCCAAGCUGAAGGAAGCAUUUUCCAAAGUGUUGCGAAAUCACCCUUUUGUUGCGAAGUGAUUUCGCAGCCUUUUUGUACAGUAGGGUGUAUUUCCUUCUGAAGUUGCCCGAUAUAUGCCGCAAACUGGAAGCUGAGAACAUCAAGGUGGAAGCCAACUUCGCAGCCCUGCGAGAAUAGCUUUUUGCUGCGAAGUGAUUUCGCAGCCCUUCUUGAGUGUUUGCGAAAUCUCGCAGACACCAUUUUCUCUUGCGAAAUGGUCCCUGGAGCAUCCCGAUAUUUGCUACCGACAUUGGGAGAUAUUUUACAUCAGAUUUUUGUUGUCUAAAUCCCAAAAUACUUCUUGUAAGCCACCAAUUACAAGAUUCCUUAGCUUUUAAGUUAGUAAAAAGAGAAAAUAUCCAUGUAAUAAUUAGUUUUAUAUUAUGUUCAUAUAAAUACUUCUCGGGAGCCUGUUCUCAAAAAGGGACCCUUUUGUAAAGUUUUGGGAAAGCAAGUAAAGUUCAGGUCCUUUGUUUUGUCUUACCUUCUCACUUUGUAUUAUUUAUUUCUUACUAAGUUAUGCACUCUCUGAGGAAUUUUCCCCAGAGAAUGAGUAACUAAACCUCUAGUUCCUUGGAGCUAAGGUUGCCGGGGAAGGUUCCAAAUGCAAGAAUGCAAAGCUUUGUGGUUUCAGCCAUCAAUUAAGAGGAAGUAAAGUCUUUUAGUGAUUUCUAUGUUUUUAGUUAACUUAAAACACCUUAGAGUCACCUGGGCCAACACUUGGUAAGGCAAGUGAUCUCCAUCCAUGGAGAUGCACUAGUUUACCCCUUGCGAGCCUCUGGGAGGUGACUUUAAGGUAGGAUUUUCUGGAAUUGCCAACACUUGGUAAGCUUUUGGACUCCAAGGAGACAUCCAUUAGUUAUCUCUUGCGAGCUAGAGAAGGGAAGUCUAAGGUUAAAGAUCACCUUGAAUGGUUAAGGCUUAGUGAGAGGCUUAAACCAUUGCAAGUUGCAUCAAUGAGAGAAUUAAAGUUGAAAUCUAAUUAAAGGAUGUAUCUGUACAACACCGGUUAGAGAAUUGACUAUAUGUUGAAUCUCUAAUGCGAGGAAAUGAACCAUCUGACCGGAGCUAUGUCUUUUGCAUGAGGAACCACCCCAGUGAACCUAACUCUCCAAGGAAUGUUUUUCUUCCUAAGUUAUUCUCACUACUUAUUCUGUUAGUUAGUUUAAAUCUAAAUCUUUACCAAUCAAAAGGUUGUGUUUUAUUUUUUUAGCUAACCUUGAAAUGAAACAAGACCAAUUCACUUUGAAUUGGUAUCAUUGAUAGCUUGCUAAUCCUUCCCAGUGAACGAUCCUAAAGCCGCUAUAUUAUAGUAGUUUUUUCUUUGCUACCCUAGUAUAUGGUGUAAUAGGUUAUAAAUUUUGUUGAUUACUCCCCCAAUCAAGGAGCACCAGCUGGACACGAAUCAGCUGAGACACCAAUUGGGCACGAAUCACUUGUCUAAGCAUGGGUGGAAGAUCUUGUUCAUGAGGGUGCAGAACGUUGCUGGGGCAUUGGUGAGUCCGAAAGGCAUCACUAAGAAUUCGUAUGAGCCAUACCUGAUCACACAUGUGGUCUUUGGCUCGUCCCCCUCCGCAAUCCUUACUUGGUAGUAGCCCGACCUUAGGUCUAGCUUCGUGAAGUACCUUACCCUUCCAAGUUGAUCGAAUAAGUCAGCAAUGAGCGGGAUAGGAUACUUGUUCUUUACCGUCACCUUGUUGAGUGCCCGAUAGUCUAUGCACAUUCGUAGGGACCCAUCAUGCUUCUUCUGAAAUAGAACCGGCGCGCCAUAGGAAGCCUUGGAUGGUUGGAUGAACCCCGCAUCUAGUAACUCCUUAAGUUGUCUCCUUAGUUCCUCCAACUCCGGUGGUGUCAUUCUAUAUGUACCAUAGUAGGGGGCUUAGCUCCCGACUCCAACUCAAUCCUGUGAUCUUCCUCUCUCCUAUGAGGAAGUCUCUUAGGCAACUCGGGCGACAUCACGUCCUUGAACUCAUCAAGGACCCCCUCGAUUUCCUUAGGCAUGGGUUCUCCCGACCCAUCGUCUCUUUCUUCCUUCAGGGUGGCGAGGUAGGUCACCUCUUUCCUCUUUAACCCCUUCCUAACUUGCAUAGCUGAUAGCAUAGGGGUCUUAAGCGUACCUUCAGUGACCGUAGGGACCAUGCAUGGCUUCUCCUCCUCUAAGAUAGCCAUUGAGCAUAGGAAAGGUAGUGGCACGACCUUGACCUUCUGUAGGAAGUCCAUUCCUAGCACCAUCUUGAAGUUAUCCAUGGGUGCCACUAUGAAAUCGACCCUUCCUUCCCAUGAGCCGAUGUGCAUAGCCACCCUGCAAGCUACUCCAUGUGACGGGCUUGGCAGCUGAAUUAACUGCCUUGAGUCAUCCUCCUUCCUUGGAUGCUUGGAGCUUUAGUCUCUUUGCCUCAUCCUCCGAGACAAAGUUAUGAGUGGCACCAGUGUUCACCAAGGCCUUGGUGGCCUUCCCAUUCACAAGGGCCUCUACAUACAUUAGCCCUUUGCUUUGAGGCGUCUUAGGCAUCGGCUUGGCCUUAAGGGCAUUUAGGAGUUGCAACGAUCCCACUUUAGCAUCGCCUUCCUGCUCAUUUUCCUCAAUCAUAGCAUUUAGAGCUUUCCUUUUAGGGCAGUCUCGUGCCCAGUGUGUACCAUCGCACAGGAAGCAAUUGGUCCUGGGCAUGAACUCCUUCCACUUAUCUUUGCCUUUACCAUCCUUGCCACUAGGGUCUUUGCUUGAUCCUUCCUUAGAAGUGUGGCAUUGUGAUCCAUUGUUUCCCCCACCUUUGGCCUGGUUACCCUUGGAUGGUGGUUUUGGCUUGGAGGAGUCUCCCCUUCUAUAAUCUACCAAGGACUCUGCUACCGCCAUGGUCAUGGCUAGGUCUUAGACACCAUGUCUCCUCAACUCUUGCUCGGCCCAACUUUGCAAGUUGUCCAUAAAGUUAAAUAGUAGCUCCUCCUCAGCCAUGUUAGGUAUCUCAAGCAUAAACGUAAAGAACUCCUUGACAUACUCACGGAUCGAGCCUGUGUGCUUGAGACGCUUCAUACUCUUCCUUGCUAGGUAAGCCACAUCUUCGGGAUAGAAUUGCCUUUUGAUUUCUCUCUUAAAGGCAUCCCAUGUGUCUAUGGUGCACGUCUCUUUCUCUAUGUCGGAAAACUGUCGACGCCACCAUAGAGUAGCAUUAUCGGUGAGGUAAAGGGUCGUGGUGCAUACCUUAGUGGCUUCAUCCGUCAAUGCAAUGGCCUCAAAGUAACGCUCCAUGUGCCACAAGAAGUUAUCUAGCUCCUUAGCAUCCCUCUUUCCAUUGAACGAGUGUGGCUUGGGCACCUCCACCCUUGGUGCCUCAUGAGUGGCCAUGACUCAUGUUGAUAUCGCAGUCUUGUAGAUGGCUAGCUCUUGAUGAAUCUCUUGGUCUCGGGUCUCCAUGAGCGCAGCCAAGGCCUCCAUCCUUGAUUCCACACUAGCGAACAUGAUCAUGACCUUGUCUUGGAAGGACAUGAACUCCUUGUGUGACACAGUUGAACUUGUGAGCCUAGCACCCCCUCGCGAAGGUCUUGGAUCUGCUCCCUUAGAUCCUCUAAGCCUUUCUCCAUGCCUUGCUCGAUCAAGUCCACCCCUUCCCGGGUGUCCGUCAUGGCUAGCUCCACCUUAGCUAGCCUUGCCUCCAUGUUGGCUAAGGCAUCACGAGACUUAUCCUUCCUGCCUCGGCCCCGUGCAGUAUGCUCCAUCUCCCUUCCACGGGUUUGCUCGCUAGUCUCCUCCACGUUAGAGCCCGACAUGCUUCCUUUGCUAUGCCCACUUCGUAACCGCGCUCUAAUACCACUUGUCACAGACUUAGUCGUUCACUAAGCUCGUGCAGCACUUAGGCAAGUCAAGACGCUUGAUCUUGCUAAGUCAACCUUGCUCCCAAUGCUUAGCUUGCUAGGCUAAGAUGUUCACGACUCGAAAGCUUAAAAAGCUUAGUAGGCAACUCUUUAAAGAAUGGAAGCUCUUAUUAACUCAUGGAAGCCUUUACAAAUGCUUGGAAGCUCACUUGCUUGGUGCCUUGGCCAAAUGAGGCCCUCACCUAUUUAUAGGCACCAAUGGAACUCUCUGCAACCUUAGAGGGUUCCUUACAACUCAAGUAUAUUCUAGAAAGUCCUACAUCAUUCUAGGUACAAGCCUAUGUACAACGAUAUACAAGAGACUUCUGGAAUUCUCUAGAAAGCCUUGGACUCCUCUCAUGCCUUCCACCAUAGUGUAGAAUUGUGUGGAUUCCUCCAAGCUUCUCCACAACCUUCCACACUCUUCCCACUCUAGGAGUCUCCAUAAGCUUCCUAGCUCUAUGUAAGCCCAUGGGGAGGCUCAUUUGAAUCAGCUUGUGACAAUAAGCUUGACAUUGGCAGUCACUAAGGCAAGCCUUUUUGCAAUAUUGAUUAUCAUUCGUAUCUACUAAAAUAGAAGACUACGGUUUUUUGGCUUUCAUCAUUUUUAAGCGCAAGAACAUGUCUUCAAUGGAAUUCUUCUUGUAUUUGGGUGACUUUCUGGUACACCCACUUGAGAACUCUCCAAUUUUCCAACUAUUCGGCGAGAUUGGUUUGAACCCAGGCAAACAUUUUCACAUCAAAGCAUUCUUAGUGCUACAACUUCCAAAUUUCCCACAAGCAAUUGACACACUGCAUCGGUCUUUCGGUGCCCACCAGACUGGAGACGAUGUAUUCCAAUUCGCAUAGUAUUGAAUUUCCCCUAAAGAACUCAUUACCAACUGUUUUUCAACUGAUGAGUUGGGGAUAGAGCUAUGCCCUUUAUACACGUUCCUCUAGGAGAUUUUGGACAACAAGCUGCGUGUUGCUUCAGGCAUCUCAUCAAACGUUCCAUCCCAGUCCUCACUGUACCAAUGUACAUAUAAAAUUUGAGAUAUGAUAUACUGGUACUCUUUUUCUUGAUCUAGCUUGAAGGUAUAGUUUCCAAGUGUGGCGUCAACGGGGCUUAACCAUGAGGUCAAUAUUAAGCUUUCAUUCAUCUUCAUACCAGGAAGAAAAAUAUCGGUGGGAUUACGGAAGCUCUCUCAAAUAAUCUCUUCGGAUCUAUUGCCACUCAAAACAAGGUUCCCAUAGUCCAUAAGCUUCACUAUCCUGUCUUUAGAUGAAGGUGUUUCAAUAUCAAUAGACCAGUGAACUGCUUCAUUAAUUUCGGCCAACACCUUCAGCUUACCAUCUUUUUUAAUGGCAAAAACUCCAAUGGAGGUACCAGAAAAGGGGUUCUCUCGGUUGGCUACCCACACAACUCUUGGUGGUUUAGACAUGUGAUGCCAUAUGCCCAUGAAUCUUCUAUUCUUGGAGCUUCCAUUUGGAUGAAAGAAGCCUAGUUCAAAAGUUUCACCGGAAGAGACAAGAGUUUCUCCAUUAGUAAGCCAAGUGUCUAGUGUGAUGGUGUGUCACGCCCCAAGACCCACUCCAAGGGCGUGACGGUCAUUUCACACCUCAAACCCGAAGGCUUAAAGUAUAAUCUGACCCAAACAGUCAUAUUGUAACUGGAUGUUACCAAUUACCAAAUACCUGCUCAGAGUAGCGGAAACAAAGUCUAAAAUCCUCAAAAUUCAAUUUCCAAAUAACUUCCAAAUACCAAAUGAUCCAAAAUAACAUAACUAAUAGUUAAACAAAAUCCAACAUAAAAUCCUAAGUCAAAUCCUAAUGAUGACCAUUCCUCAGCCUAGCCAUCACUCCUCACCCGAACUAAGAGUACCUGAAAAAUUUUCAACGAUUGGGAAUGAGCUCACAGCCCAAUAAGGAAUAUUAAUGCAGUUCAUGGAUCAAAUAUUUUCAUUUCAAAUAGGAGAUAUCAAUUUUUUUUUUUUUCAUCAAAUAUCAGAGUUUCAAAAAUGCCAAUAUAUUCAAAAUUCAACCAACCAAUUUCAUAUCAAAUUCAAACACUUUCCCAUCAGACUUAAUCAAAUCCAUUCAAUUUUUCAUUACUCUGGUUAUCAAAUAUCAAAUGCCCAGUUAGGUGGGACUUUUCAAAUGGGUGGCUAGCCUCAAAUUGUUCCUGGUGGACGGAACCAAACACUACUAGUACUAGUAACCUCUAAACAAACCCCUAGAGGUUGGGGUCCAAAUCAAUUACAUUCCCACCAUGAAAUGUAAAGGUCAACUAUUAUAUCCCAUUGACAGGGCCGAAUAGUCAACUAUUAUAUCCCGUUGACAAGGGCCAAAUAAACCAGAGUGAUGUUUUUUGUUCAAGUAUUCAAAUUUACACAACAUAAUAUCUCCAUAUUUUGUGUCAUAAAUAAAACAAAAUAUUCCAACAUAACAUUUAGUGCAAAACAAUUUGAUCCAUGCAUGGUAACAAAAUAUCAUUUUAUUUUCCACAAUUCAAAAUAACAUAUAAAAUAAUUUUAUUUUAUAAAUAUUACAUUAACUUCCCUUACCUCAAAAGAAGUCCUUGAAAGCUUGGGAGAAGAAUGAUUCUGAAAAAAAAUAUAAUCUACUCUUCACCUAAUAUAACAUAAGAGAAACAAUUAUUACUAUUUAUUUAUAAUUUAACUAAUCUAUUCCUUAUUUAAAUAAAACUAAUAAAUUCUCAAUUUGUUUCUAAUAACACAUUACUAAUUUAAUUAAAUUACAAUUUUAUGUCAUUAUAAAAUUCUCUAUAUAUAUAUAUAUAUAUAUUUUGCUAAAUCUAUUAUUACUAUUAUCUUAUUCAUUAAUCUAAAACUAAAUAUUAUUAUUUUAAUUAACCAAUUCAAAAGCCACUAGAUGUCUCGAGUACACCAAACCACCAAACCAAAAAGCAAGUUUUUUUUUUUUUUUUUCCAUUGCAUCAUCAUUCAUUAUAUAUAUAUAUAUAUAUAUAUAUAUAUAAAAGGCUUCCUUCCAUUUGGCACAUGCCUAUUUUUUUUUUUUUCCUCCUUGCUUCCAGUAGCACAGUACACGUACACCCCCCAUAUAUUUUUUUUUUUCUUCCUUCCUUCCUUCCAGUGCUGUGCACACGCGUUCUCCCUCUUUUUUUUUCUUUUUUUUUUUUAAUUAACCCUAACCUAAAAUCGAAAUAUUCCAAGGAAUUUUUUUUUUCUAAUAAAACUUAAGAUCUCCCAAAUUCCAAUGCUAAAAUCAAAAUAUUAAAUUUUCACUAUUUGAUAUUAAAACGAAUUAAAAAAUAAUCUAACCCUAAUCUAGAUUUGGGGUUUUCCAAAAAAAUAUAUCUAAUGUGUUUGAAAUUAAUCAAUGAAUCUAAAAUAUUAAACUAGGGGUUAGAAUCUUACCUAUAGAGAUCUGUUCUUCAACCCUGAAAUCUGACUCCAACCUUACGUUCUCUGGAAUUCUGCGAACAGGAACUCUAUUCAGAAAAGAAGGGAAAGAAUAAAAUUUCUAAUUUAUACCUAGGGUAUUUAUUCGUAAAAUUACUCUUUUACCCCUCUUCUUUUUUUUAUUAAAUUAAUUAAUUAACUAAUUUAAUUAUUAAUAACAAUUUCCUAAAUUACCCUUAAAAGAAAAUGCUUGGGCGUUACAUGGUGUCUCUAGUAGAGCAACACAGAAAAUAACACAAUAAGAAAAAAAUGGUAGAUAACAUUGUGAAUUGCAGAGACUGAAACCCUGAAUUUUCUUGUCUUUUUCCUACUAUUUUUGUUAAUCCGAGAAUCUCUUUAGUUUUGGUGCCACAAAUUCACUGUGGGAUAGCGUGCUACUUCUCUAGGUUGACCUUCUAUAUGUGGCGCCUAAAACAUUGGCCCCUUAGAUUAACUUUUUAAUUGUCUAAAACCAUUUUUACCGCAGGUCCAUACUCCGGGACAAGCCCCCACACCCCCAUCGGAUCAGUGGUGAUAGGCCCAAUCCCCCUGUUAGACCCUAAAAAAAAUCUCAUAGUUUUUUUUUCACCAUAUAUAUUGUAUUGCGAAAUUUUCAAGUCUGACAAAAUAAAAUUCGAGUCACGAAUCUUUAAUAGUUAUCAUCAAGAAAUGAGAUGGAAAUGUUUCAGCUAGUGAAAAUCUACAUCAAGAGGCUUUUUGGGAAGACAAAUAUAAAAAUACAUCUAAACAUCAUUAAACUUCAUGAUUCUAAUACACAUCAUGGGAUGAAUUCUCAAUCAUAUAUAGGUGAGUAUCACAUAUAUAUAUAUAUAUAUAGGUUUAACACACAAUGCUACAUAAUGUGGUGGAUAAAUAUGCAUGUCAAAUUGAUCAUAGUUGUAAAAUUGUUAGCUAGAAACUAAAAAUUUCUAAUCUGAUUCCUAAGUGCUUCUUUUUUUUUCUUUUUCUUUUUUUAAAAAAAAAACAAAAAAUGAUAAUAAUUUCUACAUAAAAUGUAAAAAUUAUCGUAAAAAAUUAAUAACAUUCAAUUUAGAAAAUUUUAAGAUAUUAUAUAAAACAAAUUCACCAUCUUAACAUUUAAAAGUAAUUUUUAAAGAUAUAAGAUAAGUUCAUAUUAUUUAUAUAAAAACUAUUUUAUAAUUUACAUAGAAAUUAUAUAUAUAUAUAUAUAUAUAUUGAAUUGGGUUAUUUCACAAUAUUGGAGCAUAGUUUACCUUAGGUGAUUAAAGAUGUGAUACAGUAUAGUUUUUAGGAUAGAUGUGAUAAUUUAUAAUUGAAGUUUUGAUAUGGGUUAAUUAGUAAUAUUAAACAAAGGAUAAUGCUUUUUCAUAUUCUUAGAUUUAAUUUUUGGUGAAAAUAAUUAAGAGUAAGUAUUUGAUAGUGAUUUUAAGAAAUGUUUUUAGUCUUUUUAAUACUUGAAAAAGAAAAUUUUUCAAGUGUUAGAAAAACCAAAAAUACCUUUUAGAAACAGUACUAAACAUAUUCUAAAUAUGUACUCAAUAAUCGAUUUAAUAAAUUCACGGGUGUCAAAAUAAAUAUGACAUCAAGAUAUGUUAAUAAAUUUUUUUUUUUUUUUUGAAAAAUAAUUCAACAUAUUUAUUGAAUUCACAUUCAAGACAAGGUCGCCUGUAACAUAGGUGCAUGGCUGUCCAUUUAUUCCCAAUUGCCUUAGACAAACAUCCCCUUACUCUUAAGUCAUUUUGUUUUUUUUUUUUGUGAUUGCAUGUUGAAAAUUUGAUUUUAACAUGAGUCCACUAGGAGUUCAGGACAUCUAUUAAUUAAUGGGGGCAGUUCUCGACCUCCAUGGCCUGCCUACUAAUUUUGGUGGGUUGCUCACAGGUGACGUCUGACUUAAAAUACGUCCAUCGCCCAACUUACUAUUCAUGGACAAACAAAAUAUUAGUAAUGUACCAAUCAUCUUGUAUAUGUAGUAACAUUUUCAAAUUUUUAAUCUAAACCUUGGUGUAAAUAAUUAAAUUUAAAUAAAUUAAUUAAAAUGUAUAUUUAAUUUUUUUUCACCCGCAAUUGAAGGCCGGUGGAGUGGUGAAAUCUUGGAAAUGGAAGCCAACCAUGCAGCAAAUAAAGUGACCCAAAGUCCAAGACCACGUUUAGAGCAUUUGUCCAUUUUUACUUGUUUUCAACGGCUUCUAGUCUUGAAGUUGAAAUCUGCGGUUUCAUAAACGGUAUUCUGAAUUUUCUCUCUUGCGUUCUGUUUUUCACAUUUUCCAGGAAAUGGGACCUAUUUGUUUGGCUAUCAGCAAUGAGUUUCUUGUCAGAAUCUGUAAAAGAACUAGAACUUGCAGAGAAAAAAUAAAUAAUUUGAGAGUUACGAAUUGAAGGAAGGCACACAUCUAUUUCACAAAUGAGAAUGCCUAUUUAUAGGCUUACAACCAAACGAAAAUUGCAAAAAAAAUCUUAGCUACUUUCAAAUUUUAUUGGCAUUACUUCUAUUAACUGAAAAUAGAAAAUUAUGGAGUAAGAAUCUGAUAUGAAACAAUAACAAAGACUAAGUCUAACUAAGACUUUUUCAAACUUCAGAGGCAAACUCUCAUGAGUUCUAACACUCCUCCUUGAGAUUUGCCUUGGACAUGCCAAGCUUCAACCUUAGAAACUCCAGCCUUGAUUUAGGAAGUGCCUUAGUCAUUAUGUCAGCAAGUUGCACAUCAGUUGAGCAAUAAUGCAACUUGACAAGUGAAUUCUUUUUAGCUUCCCUUAUAGAAUGAAAUUUUACAUUUAUGUGUUUGGUCUUGCCAUAUUAGACAGAAUUUUGAGCAAUGGCAAUGGCUGACUUGCUGUCACAGUAAAGCUCUGUUGGUGAGCUUUAUUCCUAGCCUAGAUCAGCAAGCAAUUUCCUUAACCAUAUCCCUUGAUUUGCAACAGCUGCUAAGGAGAUAUACUCAGCUUCUGCAGUUGAUUGUGCCACUACUUCUUGUUUUCUUGAAUUCCAGCAAAUGACACCUGAACCGAUUGUAAAUACAUAACCUGAAACGUUCUUCAUGUCAUCAACACUUCCUGCCCAAUCACUAUCAGCAUAGCCAUCUAGCUUAACUCCUCCUGUCUUUAAAUACCAAAUGCCAAGAUUUGUUGUACCUCUAACAUACUUCAGCACCCUUUUUGCAACUCCCAUGUGAACAUUGCUAGGUGAACUCAUGAAUCUUGAAAGUAAACCAGCUAGAAACAUCAAGUCAGGUCUGGUUGCUGUCAAGUAUAGUAGGUUGCCUACCAAGCUUCUAUAUGCAGAGGGUUCCUUAAGUUUCUCACCAUCAUUCUUUGAAAUUUUCUCAUUUUGUGCCAUUCCAAGGAAGUAGUUCAUGAUGCCAAGGUCAGACAUCUCAAAUACAUCUUGCAUUUCCAUUUUGAACUCAGCCAGCAAUCGUACAUUACUUCCAGUCACUAGCAUGGCAUCAACAUAAAGUGACACUACCAAUUGCAAACCAUUCUCAUUUUGUUUCAAAUACAAAGUAGCUUCAUUUUCACUCCUCCUAAAUCUAAGUUGGAUCAGGUGAGAGUCAAUUCUGCUAUACCAGGCCCUUGGUGCUUGUUCCAAACCAUAAAGAGCCUUUUGCAACUUGUACACUUUGUGUUCAUGCCUAGUAACCUCAAAGCCUUCUGGUUGUUGAACAUAAAUUUCUUCAAGAAGUAUGUCAUUUAGAAAAGCUGACUUGACAUCUAAAUGGUACACUUUUCAUCCCAUUUGACCAGCAAGUGCAAGUAACAGCCUUAUAGUGUCAUGUCUGGCUAUUGGUGCAAAUGUAUCACCAUAGUCCACUCCAGCAACUUGAGCAAAACCCUUCACAACCAAUCUAGCCUUGUGCUUGAAGAUUAAACCAUCUGAAUUCAAUUUGGUUCUGAAAACCCAUUUUACACCAAUUGUCUUCUUAGCUUCAAGUAAUUCUGUCAACUUCCAAGUUCCAUUUCUUUCAAUAACAUCAAUUUCAGCUUUCAUAACCUCAAUCCAUUCUAGAAAUCUUGCAACUUCUAUGUAACAUGUAUGCUCAACAUGUACAAGAUUGCACCUCUCAUACACAUUAGAUAAUGGCCUUACCUUAAGCACUGGUAUGUCUAAAGUUGCUUCAACAUCAAGUGGAUCUUCUGCUGGUUCAAGAAUAGAUGGAGUGGUUUGAUCACAUUUAUGGACUUUCUUCAAGUCCCAAUUCUAGUAGGAAUUUUCAUCAAAGUGCACAUCUCUACUUAUCACAAUUUUCAUUCUACUCAAGCUAUAAAUUCUGUAACCUUUUGAUUCUGCUGCAUACCCAACAAAAACACCCUUCUCAGCUCUUUCAUCAAGCUUACCUCUCUUGAUAGAUGGCACAUGAAGGUAACACAAUGAACUAAACACUUUUAGGUGCUUGACAGAUGGUUUUACACUAGACCAUGCCUAUAUUGGUGUUUUGCUCUUAACAGACUUAGUCGGUAGUCUGUUAAGCAAAUAUACUGAGGUGCUAACUACUUCAGCCCAUAGAAGCUUUGGUAGCUUCUUCUCGAGUAGCAUGCACCUCGCCAUCUCCAUUACCGUUCUGUUCUUCCUCUCAGAGACUCCAUUCUACUGCGGUGAGUAUGGAGCUGUCAGUUGGUGUACAAUUCCAACUUCUAGACAAAAAACAUUGAACUCUUUUGAGGUAUAUUCACCUCCAUUAUCAGUUCUGAGCACCUUAACCUUUUGGCCACUUUGAGUUUCAACCAUUUUCUUGAAGCUUUUGAACACAGAGAGCACUUGUGAUUUGGUUUUUAGAAAAUAAACCCAAGUCAUUCUAUUGAAAUCAUCAAUAAAUAGUGCAAAAUAAACAUUGUUGCUCAAUGAGGCUAUGCUCAUUGGUCCACAAAUAUCUGAAUGAACUAAUUCCAUCUUGUGAGUAGCUCUCUUGGACAUAUUUUGAGGAAAUGAUUUGCGAUGCUGCUUCCCUAGCUCACAACUUUCACAAGUUUGAUCAUUAACUGUGAUUUCAGGCAUGUCUUCAACCAUACUUCUUGCAUGAACUUCAAUGACUUCAAGUUGAAAUGACCAUAUCUUUUGUGCCAAACAACACUCUCAUCAAUCUUGGCACUAAAGACAUGACCUUCAACUAAAUCAAGCUUCAAAUAAAAGUUAUUUCCAUUCAUUUUAAUUUUUCCUAUCUCUGUUCCAUGUACAUCAGUGAUAAAACAAAAAUUUUCUUUAAAAGAGACUGCAUAUCCAUUUCUUAGCAUUUGUGUAACACUAAGAAGAUUUUGAUCUAGUUUUGGAAUGUAAAGAACAUUAGUGACAAUUUUUGUACCUCUCUUGGUGUUGAUAGCAAUUGUCCAUUUUCCUUUGGCCUGCACAACUUCACCAUUUCCCAACUUGACCGUUGCUUGAAUUGAUUUAUCAAUGGAGGUAAAAAUUGAUAGAUGUUUGGUCAUGUGACUGGUGCAGCCAUUGUCAAUGAGCCAAGUAUUCAGUUCAUGAGAACUGAGUACUUGUGAUGCCAUAAAUAAAUGCUUAUCAUCUUUUUUGUCUUCUUCAAUCACAUUUGCAUGUUGUUGUGUUUGCUGUUGAGAUUGUUUUUUCUUGGCUCUACAAUACUUCUCACUGUGGCCACAUUUAUUACAGAAAUUACAAUUAAAAAGGGAUUUACCUUUGUACCAACAAUCUUUCUCAACAUGGUUGGUUCUGCUGCAAUGAGAGCAAGGCGAAAAGUUUCAUUUUCUUGAAGAUCCUUCAGCUUUCCCUUUGUUGUUCUUGAAGAACUUCUUUCCUUUUAGGUUUCCAGAACUCUUUCCCUUAUGAUUUGCUCAAAAAGCACCUUCAGUAGCUUCAACACCUUUCAUUAAGACCCUUUGCUCCUGCGCAUGAAGCUUGCUGGUUAAUUCUGCAAUUGUGAGACUUUGCAAGUCACAAGACUCUUCAAUUGUAGAGAUCUUGGCUUCAAACUUUUAAGGCACUGAAACCAUGAUCUUUUCUACCACCUUUUGAUCUGUAAAUGCCUCACCAAGAAGCCUCAUUUGGUUUACAACAUCCAUUAACUUGCUAGAAUAAUCUUUCACAGAUUCAUUGUCUUUCAUCUUCAUCAAUUCAAACUCUCUCUUCAAUGUGAGGAGCCUGACAUUUUUUACUGUCACUACCAUCAAAUUCACCUUGGAGUUUGUCUCAUACCAGUUUAGGUGUUUCCAAGUCCAUGAUUUUGGUGAAGAUGUGGUCUACAAGUCCUGAAUGUAGGCAGGUGAUGGCUUUGUCUUUCUUAAGUUUUUCCUCCUCAUAUGCUUUCAUCUGAGCAACUGUAGGAUUUGCUCCCAAUGGUGGUGGAUCAGCUUCAAACAUCACAACAUUCCACAAACCUUGAGACCUUAAGCAAAACCUCAUCUUGACAACCCAAAUGUGAUAGUGUUCACCAUUAAACACUGGAAUAACAGAGGAAGUACUGCUGGAAGUAGACAUGUUUGCACCACAACUGCCUGAAAAAAAUAAAUCACUCAACCUCACUGUGUUUAGCACUCAAAACACUCAAAGAAACUUUGCCUCACAACUCGUAGGAACAAGGCUCUGAUACCACUGUCAGAAUCUGUAAAAUAACUAGAAUUUGCAGAGAAAAAAUAAAUAAUUUGAGAGUUAAGAAUUGAAGGAAGGCACACAUCUAUUUCACAAAUGAGAAUGCCUAUUUAUAGGCUUACAACCAGACAGAAAUUGCAAAAAAAUCUCAGCUACUUUCACAUUUUAUUGGCACUACUUCUACUAACUGAAAACAGAAAAUUAUGGAGCAAGAAUUUGAAACAAUAACAAACUUUAGAGGCAAAUUCUCAUGAGUUCUAACAUGGCAUAUGGGUUUUGGGUUUUUCAAUUGAGGGAAGCCUAUCAUAGCAUUUAAAAAUGGAUCCCCAUAGUGGCCAACACCAUAGGAUGAUAAUUCAUCAUGGUUCUUAAUCAUGAUCUUUAUUAAAUAGAUCAAACCCAAGUACGAUACAGAUAAUAAUCGUAUUAGAAAAACAUAAAUUCAUCUAAUUAUUUAAUAAACAAUAAGUCGUAUAAUUCAUUUAAUUAAUCUAAUAAUCAUACAGAAUUAGGUCUUAUACAAAUCUACACGAUUAAUUUCUUAAUCUAAUAUGUUUAUAAUUCAAUUAAUUUAUUUAUUUAAAAUCAAUUUUUAAAUAAAUCAAAUAUAAGUUAAAUGAGUUAGGGUUAAUCAUAUUAAUCAGUAUGAUUAUCAAGUUGGUCAAUUAGGAUCAAAAUUGUGUUUGACUAAUUUAUUUAAAAAUAACUUAUUUAUUAAAUGAGUUAUACAUAUUAACAUAAAUUUAAUCCUUAAACCCACAAAAAAUAAAUUGAAUUUGAGUCAUGUUAACGAAAUAUAUUACACUUUUGACACUCGUAGUCUACGUAAAGAAAAGAUGUUGCAUCUUGCCAUUAGCUAAGCUUAGAGCAUCCAACAACUGACUAUAAGGGUCCAUAUCUUAGGCUAAAUUGAAUGAAAGCAUUAUAUUAUACAAAACCCCCUAUGCUGAUGAUGGUGCAAACACCAAAUUUGAUUUCCCAAAGUUGUAUAAUAAUGUAUUAGUUGUGUCUGUUGUGCGGAAGUUAGGUACAACUUAGUGACAAGUGUGUAUGGGGCUUGGAAUCUAGUGAGAAUCCAUUGGAUAGGAGUACAAAAUGUCGGCCAUGAGCAUGAUCUAGCCAUCCACAUUUCUCUGUGUCAGAGGGGUCAGGACCAUGGAAGAAAAUAUCAAAAUAUAUUACUGAUAUAGUAUUGGAGGUUAUAAAAACGAUAUUUGAUGAAAAAAAUAUUAUUCUGACAAAAUUAUUUUAAGGAGUAUCGAUAUAUUUGUGAUUACUGAUAUUUUUAUCUUUGGUCAAAUUAGUUUUUGAAUUCACCCAUGCAUGACAUUUGAGAUUCAGCUUAAAAGUUGGAUCAACCCACCUGAUCACCUAAGCUUAUAGAAUAGUUACAAUGAAAAAAAUAUAGUUAUAUGACAUGGAAACACUUGAGUCUUCAUUGAUUUCCUUUUCAGAUUGAAAACUAUUAGAAAAAUUGAUUCAAUUGUCAUGAAAUUGGUAUCCACAAAACCAAAGAAACACCCUAAAACUAGUCCAAAAUCUUAUCUAACCCACAUAAAUUACAGAAAAUUAUCUUAACAGCAACCAAAUUCCUAAGUCUUUGCACAAAAUCCUAUCCAAGAGAGAUCUUUUAGAUUUCUUAUCCACUCUGGAUUGACUGGUAGAGACUUUUAAACCAGGGUUGUGCCACAAGCUCAUGAACAAAUAAAAUUGGACAAAGAAUUGAAUGAGUGGAUAAACAUCAUUGUCAAUGUUUCUACUUGAGCGAGAAAUACGUUAGAUUUCUACACUUCUAAAUAGUUGCCUUGAGUGAUUCCUUGGUCCCACAGUAUUUGCUUCCCCCUUUCCUCGUGGUUUGGGAAAAGGACAUCCACACGGUUUGGUGUAGGAACCACCCUUUCCUUUGCUAUCCAUGAUUAUUUUUCUUUCCAAUAAUAAGGAAAACAUUCAUCAAGGCCCCAUGUGAAAACUAUUAUUGGUGACUGUAGGAAUAGAGCUAUUCAAUUUUUCCAAUAUACAGGACAUUGGAUGGAUACUGAUAACAAAAAAGAAUUACAUUAAAAUGUAUAAGCGAUGUAUUAUAAUUCAUUUUCUCAUCUAUUUUCAUGUUUUGAUUAUUUUAACGAGAUGGGAUGAAAUUAAAUAUGAUUUUAACAGAAGUGAAACUUGUCUCGUAAAUAGGAUUCCAUGUUGAUUUCAACAGAAGUAUGUGGAAGGAUAUCGUGGUUAAUUUAUUUAUUUUUUCAUUUUCAUUUCUAUUAUUUUUAAAUAUUGAAAUAACAACAAAUACUCAUUUCAAAUUUAUAUUGCUAGAUGCAUACAAAUAUAAGAACUGAAGCACCAAAUUCACUCCUAUUCUAAGAGGAAUAAGAACAUUGAUUUUCAUUCCCUACAGUCAAGUACCGAACAUGGCCUAAAACGUAAGGGUUCAUGGGAGAUCCUUCUCGCCUAUCGACCUUCUUCUAUGGUGGCUAGGAACUCACUAUUCAAGGAUGCUUCUGGUUUGCUUGAAGAAGAAGCUGAGCUGGAAAGGUCUCUCCUUACGACAAAAGCUGGUUGUUUAGGAACUGGGAGUGUGGCAGUGUCACUGCUGAGCAUUACAACUGCAACUGCCAUGGUGGGACGGUCACUUGGGUCUUCUUGCACACACAACAGCCCAACAUUCACGCACCUCAGAAAUUCAUUUGUUUUACAUGUUUCACUUAGUGUCUGGUCCAUCAACUCCAACACCCUGUCUUCCUUCCACAGCUUCCAUGCCUGGGAAAGUUUGGACGUACAAGGGUUUCAUGGCAUAUAUAUAGAAUGUCCAAAGGAUCAAUGCAAAUGAGAAAUUCAAAGCACUUACAUGGGCUAGAAGGCUCAGAUUCCGGUCAGACUGAUAAGAUCUGGUGUUCCUCUUCCCGCUGAUGAUCUCAAGUACCACAACACCAAAGCUAAAGACAUCAGACUUUUCUGAGAAAAACCCAUCCAAUGCAUACUCUGGAGACAUAUAGCCACUGCAUUGAACCAGUUAAAAACACUACUCAGUUAAUUGGGGAUGCAAUCAUGCAACUACUUGCAUUUUACCAUACACAAUAUGCAGUACUUACUAAGUUCCAACUACUCUGUUUGUGCUUGCUUCUACUUGCUUACUCUCAAAAAUCCUUGCCAAGCCAAAGUCUGAAAUUUUGGGAUUCAUCUCGUCAUCAAGUAGAAUGUUGCUUGUUUUCAAGUCUCUAUGGAUAAUCUUCAAUCUUGAAUCUUGGUGAAGAUAAAGUAGCCCUCGAGCAAUUCCCAAAAUGAUAUCAAAUCGCUUCUCCCAGUUCAGUAACAGGCAUAGAGUUUGAUCUUGCAAUGUUCCCAUUGGAAAGCACGACUUCAGCAUGUACACGUUGUAAUAUGGGAGAAAAAAAAAGGAACUUUUAGGCAGGUUAGAGGCAAACCAAAUAUGAAGGAGUCUAAGCUUUUGUUGGGCAUGUAUUCAUAGAGUAAAAUCUUCUCAUCUCCUUCAAUACAAUAGCCCAAAAGUCUAACCAAAUUUCGAUGCUGAAGUUUGGCAAUUAACACAACCUCGUUCUUAAAUUCCUGUAAGCCUUGUCCCGAAGCUCUUGAGAGUCUCUUUACUGCAAUUUCUCGCCCUUCAGGAAACUUUCCCUAGAUGCCAUAGCGCAUGGUAUUAGACAGACAAACCAGAAACCUUGAAAUGAGACUAAUGUGGAAAUUAAGGACUAUUACUUUGUAAACUGGCCCAAAGCCCCCCUGUCCAAGCUUAUUUGCAUCUGAAAAGUGAUCUGUAGCAGCCAGUAUGUCUUCUAAGUCGAAAAAUGGUACGUCAAUGCCUUUCUUAUCAUCUUCUUUGAAUUGCUCAGAGUCUAUUAAGUCUUUCACACGGCUCUCGCUAUGAUACAAGUGAAGCCCUGGAUUUGUUCUGUUUUCUGAAUUCAGAAACAAGACUACAUUAUGAAGAAGUCCCCUAAAAAUAUUAUCAAUUCUGCCAAUCAACACGAAACAAAAAAAGACCAGAACUUAAACGGUGGCGCAAAUAGCACAAAGAUUACCUUGCCCUUUGGAGAUGGUUCUUUUUCGAAAAUAAGCAAUACAACCAAUGAUGCAUAGAAGUCCAACUACUACAACAGCAGUUACUAUGCCUACCACAACUACCAGAGCCGAGGAUGAUGAUGAUGACUUCUGGUUUGCAGGUGUUGGAGCCUCCGCAAGAUUGCCACCAUCUGAAACAAAGAAAGACCACUCUCAUUCAUGGAGAAGGCAGCGCAUCUGCCAUUACUAAUCACUGUGUCUUUCAAUGCAAUUUAGCAAUAUGCUUGCUGAAAAGCAUCCUCACCUUGUGUACAAUUUAAACUGGAGCUGUUCCAUUUGAAGUUUUGAUUACAAAAACACCUUCUCGUUCUAUUUUGCGUUCUGCAACUCGAAUUUGGCCAGUCCUUGCAGUCUGUUGCUGAGUUACAAACCGGCUCUGGUGGUGGAUCCCAACUUAUUUCAAUUUCAUACUGACCUUUCAUAGGCAUGCUGGAGCUAGAAUUUCCUGUGUCAGCAUUGCACCAGCUAGUUAUCCUGAAAGGUGGAUUGAGCUGCAGUAUCUUCGUGUCUUGUGAAUUUCGUGCUUCGCAGUUAUCAAUAUCAUUCACUUGGAUGAGAAACUUCGAUCUCUCUGGAGUGAUGCUGGUUACUCGGUAGCUGCCAUUAGGUAAGGCGAACCAGACUUGGUCUGUGGCCUUGUCACAUCUGAAACUGAAGUACAUGGGAUCACCACAGUUUGGUCCAGUGCUUAGUGGAUAGGGGAUCAAGUUUGUGCCACAAGUUUCACAAUUUCUUACUGUUGAUUCUGCAGAAUUAGAAUGAAUUUCAAGAUUUUCCUCAUUAACAAUCAAUUAAAUUCAGAAGUAGAAGGGGGCAAGCAGAGAGGAUACCUAUAUCUGAUUUGGCGACACGGAGAGAAAGAUUAUAGCCAUCUGUGUUAUACUCCUGAAGACUACCGAGAUCUUCAGACCAAACCAGCACUUGGGAGGGGUGCUAGCACGGCCCCUUCGUAUCGUUCCAACUCCAGCAUAAGCUUGACAGCGACAGGUCUUAAGGCACUCUCUUCUGCAUUCACUUUCAUCCUUAUCCGAAAACUCAAUGUCAUACUUUCUUACUUUAAUCAUCUUCAAGAUCAAGAAUGUGUCCCCACAGAGGGUUGUCUUUUUAGAACACCCACCUGAAAAAUCUCCAUUAGUCCAUCUCUCCAGCGAGUUAGGCUCGAAUCCAGGCAAACAUUUGCACAUAAAUGCAUUGUUAACAUUGCAAGAACCGAAAUUCCCACAAGCAUUCAACACACUGCAUCGGUCUUGCGGCGCCCACCAGAAUGCAGACCACUCCUCCGUAUAAUUAUCCCAAACUAGAUAUCUUAUUUCCCCGGUGAAAUUCAUCACCAACCGUGUAUAAGAACUGCGGACAAAUUCAGACCCAGUUGGUUUUCGGGUCUUGCUAAAAUUGGAUAAGAGCUCGGCUGCUGCAGAACUCAUUCCUUCUGAUUCCUCACUUCUCCAAUAUUUAACAAUUGAAUCUUCAAAUAUGAUAUACUGAUCUUUAUCAUCAUCUUGCUUGAAAGUAUAGCUUCCAGGUGCAGGGUCAACGGGGCUUACCCAUGAAGUCAAUGUUAAGUUUCCCUCCAUAAUCAUCCCAGGAAGAAAAGUAUCAGUUGGGUUCUUGAAACUCUCCCAAAGAAUCUUCCCAGAUCUGUUGUCCCUUAAAACAAAGUUCCCAGAAUCCAUGACCUUGGCCACCCUACCCAUGGAAGAUGAGCUUCCAAGAUUAGUAAACCAGUAAGCUGCUCCACUUUCAUUCACUAGCUUGAGGUUACCGUCAUCUGCAAUGGCAAGAGCUCCAACACUGUCGUCAGGAAGGGGGUUGUCUCUAUUGGCUACCCAUACAACUGUUCUCUCCUUCAACCCGUAGUACCAUAUGCCAAUGUAUUUUCCAUUGUUGAACCCUCCCUUGGGAAUAAAGAAGCCCAAUUCAAAAGUUUGAUUGGCUGAAACAAGAGUUCCUCUACCAUCAUCAAUAAGCAAAUUGUCUGGUGUGAUGGUAUCUCUAGCAGAGCAGCACAGGAUAGAACACAAGAAGAAAAAGAUUGCAUGUCGCAUUGAAUUGCAGAGACUGAAACCAUUAAUUUUCAUCUAGUCCUUUGCAGGAUAGAACCCAAGAAGAAAAAGAUUGCAGACAGCAUAUGAGUUGCAGAGACUGAAACCAUUAAUUUUCAUCUAGUCCUGUUGCCCACCAUUUUUUUUAAUGGUAAGAGUAUGAAAAGUUUGGUGGCAGAGUUGAGUGUGGGGUUGCUGCUGCUGUAACGCACUCUCAAUAUUAUCAUAAAUAAAUAAAUAAAGAUUAUUAAAAAAAAAAAAAAAACCUCCAUUGUAUCUAGGUUGACAUCUUAUUAUGGGAAAAGAAAGAAAGGAAAAAAAAGCAAUGCAGAAUUAAAUUAAAAAAAAAUCCAAAAAAUUAAAAGUGAAAUGGAAAUUCUGCCCUCCCUAAAAAUAUAAAUUUAGUUUUAAUUCUUUUUUUAAUUAAAAAAACAAUAAUGAUAAUUAAACAUUAUUAAUAAAAAAUAAUACUUACCUUUGAGUAUUAAUGAUAUAUUAAGAUUUAAUUAAAAUUUAAAAAUAUAUUUUAUGUUAAUACCUAUUUCUUCCCUUUUUAUCCUAUCUUUAUCUUUUUUUUAGUGGAACCAUUGUUCCAAUUUAUUUUGCAUUAAUUCAAAUUAUAUGAGCUUUUUUGUUUUAUAAUAAACCCUUCAAUGAAAUUGACUUUUUAAAAUUUUGUAUUUGAUGGUUUAUAAGCUUUAAUUUAAUGGUGGGUUAUCUAUAGUUUUAAUCUUAAUAUUUAAAAAAAAAUAUUUUUAAAAUUUGUGACAUUUAAUUAAAUAAUAAAUUUUGCUUUCUUUAGUUUUUGAUGAUUUACUCUUAUUGAAUUGUUUAUAUGAAGUGAUAGCUUAUGUUUUAUUUUAAUUAUAAAGCUGAUGCACCUUAAUAAAAUAUUUUGACUAUAAAUAAUAUCGGUAAAGAUCUCUACACAUAUUGUGUAAUAUAUUUGAUGAAGACCUCUACAUAUAUUGUCUACUUUUGAGUCCAUUAGCUUUUAUAUUCCUACUUAUAACAUUGUUUACAUAUUCCAAAUAGCUAAUGGGUGGUCAUCCUCAUGUUUUCAAUUAGGAAUUAGUUUUAAUAUCACUUAACCCAACUCAUGUAACCUUAUUUUCUUUAAACCCAUUAAUCCUCGCAACUUUAAACCCUAACAACAAAUGGGCCACCCUUAAAGUACUAAAAAUUUCUUAUUCAAAUGAUAUGAAAUAUUAUAUUCGAUCAUUUAUAUAGACACAUUGUUCUCAUCAUGACCCAUAGGGUUUAUGGAUAGUCAAAACUCUACAUAUUUUUUAUUAGGGAUUAGCACAACCUACUAGACUUCUUGAUUUUACGUAUACUAAAUGCAUCACUCUUCUAAGUAUUACGAAUUCUCAUAUGAGAAUUUGAAAAAGGGAAAAGUGGGUUUUUCCUCACUAAUUUAAAGAUAUAUAGAAAAAAAAACCUCAAAUUUUAUAAAUAAGUUUUAUCUUUAUCAAUUUAAAAAUAUUUUAAAAUACAUACACUUUUACAUAAAUCAGAUAAUUAUUUUUUGAAAUAGCACUUUACUUGAUAAUAUAAAAUAAAAUUAUCAAAAAAUAUUUAUCAUUUUAAGUUAAUAAAAGUACAUUGCAAACAAAUAUAUUAUAAAUUUUUAUUAUAUAAUAUAAGGUACAAAUCAUUAUGGAAAAAUUCAGUAUAUUCCUCAAGUGAUAAAUAAUUUUUUUGCUAAUUCUCUAGCUAAUAAUGAUUUUAUAUUUUAUAUUAUAUAAAUCCCUUCAUCUUCUUACCUUUUUUUAAAAAAAAUAAAAUUGAAUAAAAUUUUUGUUGAUUUACAUCAACAAUAAAAUAAGAAACUUAAAAAAAAAAACCUAAAAGUUAAAAUAUAAAAAUAAAAUAUUGACUUUCAAUUGGCGUACACUAGUUAAAAAUCUAGAUAUAAUGGAAGGCAAUAUUUUCUUUUAUUUUAUUUUAUUUUAAAUUUUUAAGUAUUUUAGUUUUAAUUGUAUUUUUAAAAUUUUAAAUUUCUUAUUUUAUUGUUCCUAAGGAUGUUUGUUUCUAGAGAGAGAAAAAAAAUCUUAAAUCAAGUCUCACAAUUAACAGAACUAAAAGAAAAAUUAGUUUUUUACAAUUAAAUAUUUAUGUAUCUACUUGUUAAUUGGUAUUAUUAACAUAGUAAGUGCAAGUAAAAUGUUAUUUCAGAAAAUAAUUAUCUGACUUAAAAAAAUAUAUGUAUUUUAAAAUAUUUUUAAAUGGAAGAAGAUAAAAUUGAUUUAUAAAAUUUGGGGGUUUUCUUUUCUAUAUUUUUUUUUCAAACUAGUGACUUAUAAUCCACUUUUCCCAAAUCAACACAUUUACACCGAUUAAAAUAAUGAUAUAAAUAACAUUUUUUUUCUUAACUUUCAUGUUUUAUUAAGAUAUCAUGUUUUGUACCUAAAAAGAAAAGAAUGACAAAGAAAAUAAUUUUCUCACAUGUAAUAGAAAAAGAAAAAUAGUAAGGAAAUGAUGAGAGAAAAUUUAAAAGAUUUUCUUUUCCAUUUUCAUUAGAUAAAAGCAUGAAAAAUUUAGGAAAAAAAAUAUAUACUACUCAAUAAUUCAAUUUUCUAGAAACCAAAUAUAGUCUAAUAUUGCUCUACGUUCAAAGUCAAUUUUCAACAAUGAAUUCUCCUCUUACAGUACUUCUUCUUAACUCGAUUGUGACAAGUGUUGUCAUAUGAAUUUUCUUCCCUCAAUCUACCUACUGUGAAAUGUAAUGUAAAAAAAAAGAAAAAGUACUCCUAAUCGAAUAAUGAGUAAUCACUAGAGACUUUGGAGUGUAGCAUGCAUCCUAUUCUUUAAUUAUUGUCUCUCAAACCAGUCUUAACAUUUUUAUUCAUUGAAUUAAAUUAUUAAAUAUACAAAUUAUUGACUGGUGUCUAAGUUUUUUCUUUCUUCAAUUUCUAGCUUUAAGUUCCCAAAUGAAAAAAAAAAAUUGUCAAGAUCUUGAUUAGAAAAACCUAUUGUUUAAUUGGAAAUAAAGUGGACUCAGUCUCCUUUCUUGUUGAUACAUUGCUUUCAUCUCUUUUCCUUCUGGCUGGCUACUAUGCUUCCCGCUCUCUUCCCAAGCCUAAAAGAAGGAUAACAUUUUGUUUGUUCCUCCGCCCCCCCUAUGAAUACAUGUCACUGGCUAUGAUCAUGAUGAUGUUCAUUUUUUAAAACAAAGAAAAAUGAAAAAUAUGAGCAUCAACCAAUAAAUUUUAGUACCCUUUCUCCAACUUGGAGGAGUUCCAAAUGGGUAAUUUUUUUAUAUUUUUGUUAUAAUUUUUAUGUUUUUUAUUUUAAAUAAACAAGACAAUCCAUUUUUCUUCUGAACAUUUUUUCUUUUCCCCUUUAGCCCUAAUGGCAGUCCACUUCAAAUAUUUUUGUGCCCAAAGGGUCAAAACUAAGGAAAGAUUCAAGAAAAAAUUAGGAGAAUUAAAAAUCAAAGCCCAAAAAGGGUUCCAGCAAGUGGAUGAUUUUUCUCAGUCAACUACUGCAAUUUGGGUCUUCCUUCCUCUACUUCCUAUUUUAUUUCCCAUAGGUAGGUUAGGCACAUUGACAUCUUUUUAUCCAUUUCUGUUUGCUUUUGUGCUUUUUUGGGAAAUCAUAAUCUGAUGUAGAUCCUGAUGGAACAGGUUUCUAUAGAAAAAUCAACAAGGGCUUUUUUUUUUUUACUUUUAGUUAGAUUCUGUUAUCUCAUGGGUAUGGCAUGGAAGAAUUGAUCCUUCACUCAAAAUUGAGAGGAAAAAAAAUAGAUGUUUAUUUAUUUUUGUAUUAUAGCUCCUUUACACAUGUCACAAUCCCAUUUGCCUUAAUUCGUAGGCAUGACAUCCAAAAGUACUUUUCAGUACCAUAAUUUGAUGGAAAAAGUGGGUUUUGACUCGUUAAGGAAAAUUCUAUAUUACCUCAUGGGUAUGGCAUGGAUGAAUUGACCAUUCAAUGAAAAUUAAGGGGAAAAAAUAGAUGUUUAUUUAUUUUUGUGUUAUAGCUCCUUUACAUAUGUCACAAUCUCAUUUAUAUUAAUUUGUUGGCAUGGCAUCCGAAAAUAAUUUUCGAUACCAUAAUUUAAUGAGAAAAUAAGUUUUGAUUCACUAAUAUGAAAUAUAUAGAUAAAAAAAAAUCUUAAUUUUUCAAAAUCAAUAUUAUCUUCAUUUAUUUAAAAAUCAACAAGGGGUUUUUUUUAUUUAAUUUAUAGGAAUAUUCUAUGUUACCUCAUUGGUAUGGCAUGGAAGAAUUGACCAUUCAUUGAAAAUUAAGGGAAAAAAUAGAUAUUUAUUUAUUUUUGUAUUAUAGCUCCUUCACACAUGUCACAAACCUAUCUAUGUUAGUAGUACAUGUGAUGCUUGCAAAUAAACACAAAUAGGAGAAGGUGCAGAGUUAGCAUCACAUGUUCAUGUAUUACAAUAUGAUUGGUUCUUUCUCUUUCCUCCAUAAAAUUCUCUUAUAUAGUUGACUGGUUCUUUCUCAUAUAUGGUUGUAGAUAUGAUUUGAUCAAACCGCAUUAAAACCCGGGUAACUUAGUUUGCUUUAUUUAUGUUAUUCUGUUCAAUCUGGCAUUAUAGUUUUUUAUCUUGCAAGGAUUCCAUUGAAAAACAUAACUGAAAGGGCUUUUAAGAUUUGGAGUAUAAAUAUAGUUUCCAAUAUCUUCCAAUAUAUGUUGUGGGCUCAGAAAGAAGUCCUCCCAAUUGUACUGAAAAAUCAGUGCAUUUAUGCUGCAAUUUGUUAAUAUAGUUCAGUCAGAAACAGAGCAGAUAAACAGAUAUAACAACAAAAUCCUGGGAGUUGGACAAUUUAUUAGCAGCCUUCACCAUGUACAGGAUCCCAUAGAGACGUCCAAAACAGAGCAUCAAAUGGGAACUCCUCCUGGACUAUCAACCUUCUUCUAUGGUAGCUAGGAUUUCACUGUUCCAGGAUGCUUCAGGUUUGCUAGAAGAAGAAGCUGUCCUAGAAAGGUCUCUUUUUAUGACAAAUGCCGGUUGUUUAGGAACCGGCAUUGUUGCAAUGUCACUACUGAGCAUUACAACUGCAACUGCUAUGGUGGGUCGGUCACUUGGGUCUUCUUGCACACACAACAACCCAACAUUCACACACCUCAAAAAUUCUUUUGUGUUGCAUGUUUCGCUUAGUGUCUGGUCCAUCAGCUCCAACACCUUGUCUUCUUUCAAUAGCUUCCAUGCCUGGGACAGUUUGAGAAUAGAAAGUUAAGUAUGGUAUGGUAUAUCGUUGAGAACGACUAAAAGAUCAAUGCAAAUGAGAGAUUCAAAGCCCUCACUUGACCCAGAAGGCUCAGUGUUUGGUCAGACUGAUAAAAGCGAGUGUUCCUCUUCCCACUGAUGAUCUCAAGCACCAUAACACCAAAGCUAAAGACAUCAGACUUCUCUGAGAAAAACCCAUCCAAUGCAUACUCUGGAGACAUAUAGCCACUGCAUUGAACCAGUUAAAAGCACUACUCUGUUAAUUGGGGAUGCGAUCAUGCAACUGCUUGCUUUUUUCAGUACACAAUAUGCAAUACUUACUAAGUUCCAACUACUCUGUUUGUGCUUGCCUCUACUUGCUUACUGUAAAAAAUCCUCGCCAAGCCAAAGUCUGAAAUUUUGGGAUUCAUCUCAUCAUCAAGUAGAAUGUUGCUUGUUUUCAAGUCCCUAUGAAUAAUCUUCAGUCUUGAAUCUUGGUGAAGAUACAGCAGCCCUCGAGCAAUUCCCAUAAUGAUGUCAAACCGCUUCUCCCAGUUCAGUAACUUGCAUAGGGUUCGAUCUUGCAAGGUUCCCAUUGGAAAGCAUUACUUCAGAUAUGUAUACAAGAAUGUAUAUGUUACAUGAAAAAUAAAAGGGCUUUAAGGCAGGUUUAGAGACAAACCAAAUAUGAAGGAAUCUAAGCUUUUGUUGGGCAUAUAUUCAUAGAGUAAAAUCUUCUCAUCACCUUCAACACAAUAGCCCAAAAGUCUAACCAGAUUCCGAUGCUGAAGUUUGGCAAUUAACACAACCUCAUUCUUAAAUUCCUGUAGGCCUUGUCCUGAAGCUCUAGAGAGUCUCUUAACCGCAAUUUCUCGCCCCUCUGGAAACUUGCCCUGGAAGCCACAGUGCAUAUGCAUUGGGCAUAUGUUAGAACUUGGUGACUUGAAUUCUAUUUGGUUCGAUUCCAGAAGCUCGCGAUGCGACAUAGGUAGUAAAGCUAAAAUUAUGAAUUUUUUUUUUGGUCUAUGGUAGUAACAGAGGGAUCGGACCUAUUACUCUUUCAUGUAUAUAUAUAUAUAUAUAUAUAUACAUGCGGUGAUAUAUAGUUUUCAAUGUUAUGAUGAUUAUGUUUUUGCUAUAGUCGUCCGUAUCUCUUUCCUCUUGUACUAAUUUUUGACAUAGUAAAAUUUCUUCUCUUUGUGGUCUUUCUUAUCUAGGGUUUUCCACACAAAUCUAUGUGUUCUUAUCCUGUUUUAUUCCUUAUUGCAUAUUCUCAUUAUUUUGUAACAGCAUUGAUGAUGAGAAAUCAGUUGAAAAUGAGAGGAACAUGGAAGUUAAGAACAAUUACCUUGUAAACUGGACCAAAACCCCCUUGUCCAAGCUUAUUUGCAUCUGAAAAGUUAUCUGUAGCAGCCAGUAUGUCUUCUAAGUCGAAAAACGGUACAUCAAUGCCUUUCUUAUCCUCUUCUUUGAAUUGCUCUGAGUCUAUUAAGUGUUUCACAUGACUCUCACUAUCAUAUAAGUGAAGCACUUGAUUUGCUCUGUUCUCUGAACUCAAAAAAAAAACAGAAAAUAUUGUAUAGAAGACCCUGAAAUAUUCUCAAUUCAGCCAAGCACAAGUCGAAAAGAAAAGACCAGAAGUUAUAGGCUAGUGCAUAUGGCACAAAGAUUACCUUUCCUUUUGGUGAUGGUUCUUUUGCGCAAACAAGCAAUAUAACCAAUGAUGCCUAAAACCGCAACUAGAACGACAGCAAUUGUUAUGCCUACCACAACCACUGGAGAUGACGACGAUGACUUCUGAUCAGCAGGCUUUGUACCCUCUGCAGGAUUGACACCUGAAACAAAGAAGGAACUGAAUUGAACUUCUCUCACCUACCCAGAAGGCAAAUUUAGUAAGAUACUUGGUGAACAGAAUCCUCACCUUGUGUACAAUUUAAACUUGAGCUAUUCCAUUUGAAGUUUUCAUUGCAAAAGCACCUUCUCGUUCCAUCUCGCGUUCCGCAGGUUGAAUUUGGCCAGUCCUUGCAAUCUGCUGAUGAGGUACACACCGGCUCCAAUGGUGGAUCCCAACUGAUCUCUACUUCAAUACUAUUUUUCAAUGACAUCUCAGAGCCAAAAUUGUCAGUUCCAACCUCUUUGCACACAUCAGUCAAGUGAAAAGGCGGGUUUAGUGGCGGAAUCAGACUUCGUGAACUGCAAUCCGCUUCUUUCAGUUGGAUUACAAAUGUUAAUGUCUCUGGGUUAAUGCUAGUUACUCGGUAGGGACCACCAGGUACCUUGAACUGAACCUGGGCUGUGAUAUUGUUACAUUCAAAAUUGAAGUACGUUGAAUCACCACACUUUGAUCCAGUGCUUAGAGGAUAAGGAAUCAUGUUUGAGCCACAAGUUUCACAAUUCCUUAAUGUUGUUUCUGCAAAGACAGUAGAAUACCAUGUGGGCAUUUCAGUUACAAAUGGAUUAAUGCUUGUUUUUUCAAAGAAAAAAUAAAAUAAAAAUUGAAAGGGACAUACUUAUAUCUGAAAUGGCCACACGAACGGAGAGGUUGUAGGCAUCAGAGGCAUACUCCUCCUGAAGAUCAGUAAGGUCAUCCGUCCAAAUCAAGCAAUAUUCUAGGGCAUCAGUGACACCUCUUUGUCGUUUGAUAUAAGUUUCAGCAUAAGCUUGACAUCGGCAUUCUUUAAGGCAAGCCUUUCUGCAAUAAUCACUAUCAUUCGUAUCUGGUAUAAUCACACGGUCUGGCUUUCUCACUUUCAUCAUCUUUAAGCUCAGGAACACGUCUUCACUGGAACUCUUCUCGCAUAUGGGAGACUUUCUGGUACACCCACUUGAAAACUCUUCAGUUUUCCAAAUAUCCGGCGAGGCGGGUUUGAACCCAGGUAAACAUUUGCACAUCAAAGCAUUGUUAGUGUUACAACUACCGAAUUUCCCACAAGCUUUUGGCACACUGCAUCGAUCUUGCGGUGCCCACCAGUCUGGAGAUGAUCUACUCGGAUUCAGAUAGUACCUGAUUUCCCCUGAAGA
rnacentral:lncRNA from 1 species